rnacentral:lncRNA from 1 species
UUGCAUCUUGGUUGUGCAUGACAACUAUGACGUGGGUUGAUAGUUGACACAGGAUUUUAAGCAACUAUUUUAUAAGAGUUGCAUCAAUGACUUUAUAUAUGAAUUAAGCAGCUUUUUUCUUUCUUUUUUGGUGAAAGAAGACAUCAUGCACGAACAUGAGAGGGAGAGGGAGGUCCAUGAUCGUUUGGACUUCCAAAAGCAAAAGCUCUUUUGGAUAAAGAUGUGAAUGAGUUACUUGUAGUUUUUGCGGAACUCCACUUAAUAAAAGAUUGAAACAAUGACUUAUUUGGUUAUCUUUAAUAUUUGAAUCCCAUGCUUAAUCACACUUUAACAGCAGUUACUGGAAUCAGCUUCCCUUUGGCUAUGAUUUACUUGGAAACCAGCAAACCACACACCAAUGUUCCUACGCCUGACGUCAGAAAUUUGAAAAACCCAGCUUCGGGGCAUAGGUGUGACUUGUGAGUUCAUCAGAAAAUUGAAGUAGAGAGCUUUACUCCAUCCCAUAUGCUCUGGUAUGAUUCUGAGGCAAAAGGAUUCAAUGGAGCAGCUUUUCCCGAUAAGGGAACCACUAUGGUGUAAAUAGUGUGGUGCUCCUUGGUGGUCCACAUUACUUAGCCCCCAAAAUCCACCAUGGGAUGAUUAAUAUGUUGGAAUUUUUAUGUGUGGACUUAUAUAAUCAAUUUAAUAAUAUUAUAAAUCAAUGUUAAGUUAAUUUUUGUAUUGUGGUCCAUAAUGGGACUUGACACAUAUUAUUACUUGAUUUUUUAUGGAUUCACCUAAUUCACUUGACUGGCCGAUUAAGUCAAGUGGUCCAAAUAAAAUGUAUAAUGUGUAAUAUAUAUAUAUAUAUAUAUAUAUAUAUAUAUGCAUUUAGAGAGACUCCUUUUCUUCUCCACACACACUUACACUUCGACUGAAUUUUUGGGGAAGAAAAGGAAGGGCUCAUUGAUCCCUAAUUCUCAUACCAUCACGCACCUAGAACAACAUCUUGGAUAUCAGAGGAGGAAUAAAUGACUUUUCAUGGCAUAAAUCAAGGUAAUCGGUUCAUUUUUUGUCAUUAAAUGCAUGCUUAAAUGUUAACAUGUGAUCCUAUGCUAUUUCAAUUCUCUUCAUAAUGCCCCAAGUAAUUGGGUCACCGAUCCGCCGUGGUGGGUUUCGGGCGAGAUGGGUUGCUUCUUAAAUGAAAGAAAGAAUCAUAUGAACAGGUAGAUGAGGGAGUUACGGUCCCUUCCUCAGCUACCUAUCAUUCAUUUGCAUCAAUGUAGGAAGCCUGGACCCCUUGUGUAUGCCUUUUUGCAGCCUUCCAGGAAACCCCAUUUCUCUGGGUACAAUGUAAUGGGCCAUAAAACGGCCCGUUAGGUGGAUCAGGGGCCCAAUACAUAAUUGAACGGUCAGAUUGCCAUGAGAAAUGGGAGUAAAAUAUGAAGCUUUUUUAUUAGAUGUGCAUAUAGAUGAAUCAGGGAAGCGCACUAUUUCCAAAUCAACAUCACUUUUAGACAAGGAAGUUCCUCUGCAACUCUCCCCUCCCUCUUCUUCUUGGUUCUCUCAAGUGGUAACACACCCUGUGUUUGUUUGAGCUGAAACCCCAUUUUCAGAUCUCUCCUCCAAUGGCUAAAACCAGAAACCCGAGCAAGUCAUAAAGGAAAGCUGCACAAAGCAAGACCAGGUACCCCAAAAAUCAGAGAAACCUCCCUCUUUCAGAUCUCUCCUCCAGUGGCUAAAACCAGAAACCCGAGAAAAGUCAUAAAGGAAAGCUGAACAAAGCAAGACCAGGUACCCCAAAAAUCAGAGAAACCUCCUCCUUGGGCGGUUGUGAGAAGCCUUUUGACCUGCAAACACCUCCAGACUCAACAACAGAAGCAGCGAGAACAAACCGUCCAGGGAAGCGGCAAGAAGUGCAAGAAAAUGAAGUGUUCCGGUUCACUGCGCAGCAACUCAAAGGUCAUGCCCAGGCCUGAAAUGUCUUCACCAGAAGACCACAAGAAAAGGACGUCGAUGGCUUCAUCCAACAAUGACGGUUCCAGCAGAUCCAUGAAAGCUCCUCUUAGUGAACUCAAUGGGGUUGUUUCCUCCACUUCUUCUUCAUUGUCUGCGUCUUCUAACUCUUCUUUUGGUGGGUCCUUUAAAGGAAUGCCUCUCAGGAGACUAUCUGGGUGUUAUGAGUGCAGAAUGGUGGUUGAUCCGGUUCUUGGAAUCACUAGAGACCCUUCUUUGAGAACCACCAUCUGUUCCUGUCCUGAUUGUGGUGAAAUCUUCAUGAAAGCUGAAAUUUUGGAGCUUCAUCAGGCCGUCAGACACGCCGGUGAGUACCCACUUCCAGGUUUCAGUCAAUGAUCGGUUUUUUUUUUAAAAAAAAAAAAGAAGAAAAAAACCAAAGAAAUCUUAAUUCAUUUAUGCUUAAUAGUAUUAUUUUUGUAAUAUUUUAUUUUUACUAAACAUUAAAAUUAAAAAAUCAAUAUAUUAUUAUUAUUUUUAGUUUUUUCUAUCCAAUAAAAAAUUAUAAUUAACGAUGAAAAAGUAAAAAAAAAACAUUGCUUUCAGCCCAAAAAAACCUAAAAAAACAAACACCUUAAAUUAAACAAAACAGCACCACCGAUUGUAUUUAGUCUAUUCAUCGGGAGGUUCCGGAAACUCAAUGAUGAAAAACCAGGACUUGGAAGACUUUAAUUUUAACUUCUUUUGCUUUAUUUACUCAGUGACCAAACGUAAUCUUAUGGGAAAUCCUUUAUCUUGCCAAUUUCAAUUAGCUUUUCCUACUUACAAUACUCAUUGUUGGUCUGUCAAAAUUCAGUGUCAGAACCGGGUCCAGAAGACACAAGCAAGAACACGGUGGAAAUCAUAUUCCAAUCGAACUGGCUAAAGAAACAGGCCCCAGUCAUUCUCAAAGUCCACAACACCCCCAAAACCAUAUCCAAAUUUGAAGAAUACAGAGACUCCAAUAAAACCAAAGCCACCAAGCUCCCAAAGAAACACCCACGCUGCGUUGCAGACGGCAACGAACGCCUCCGCUUCCACUGCACCACUUUCGUCUGCUCCAUCGGCCUCAACGGUUCCUCCAAUCUCUGCAACUCAAUUCCAAGCUGCAAUAUCUGCAGUAUCAUCAAGAACGGUUUCAAGGUCGCCGGAGGGGUUCCCGGAAAAAGGAUUCUGACCACAGCCACCAGUGGAAAAGCCCGUGACAGUGCUAGAAUGUCGUCGCCGGAUGGUAAGGUGAAGAGGGCCAUGCUGGUUUGCCGAGUAACAUCUCACGUUGACUUCUCCAGAUCCAAUGGCUUGAGUGCAGGUAUUGUGUCGUGUGUCCUUCUGUUUGCUUGCUGAGAAAGUGAGGGAGAAAAAGGGAGGGAAUUUGAAUGUAACAUUGUGCUUUUGGUGUUUUUCGCUUUCUGAAAAAACAAGCCAUUUUUAUUUACUUCUUCAAAUCUGUUGAGUGAAUUUUUUUCUGCUGUUUUCUCUACAACCAAACUGAGAAAAAACAGAGUUGUGGGCGGGCAGAUUUGGUGCACUGAAGCUUUUCUUAUCUCUUUCAUCCAUGUUUUCGGACUUUCAAUUACACUGGGCUCCCGUCUCAUCAGCCGUUUUUAAAUCAUUGUUGCGAUAAUGAAUUUCCAGUCUGUGUUCUUGAAAAUUUAGGGAGAAUUUUUAAUCAGUUUUUGGCUAAUGCUUGUUUGGUUGCUGAGAAAACAAUAAGGGGGAAAGGUCAAAAUUUUCUUCCUUUCUUCCGCUCUCUGUGAUCAAACUAAGCUUCGUUCUCAUUGUAGUAAUUCAAACACCUCAUGUUCUUUGCAGUCGGAAAUUACUACCAACAGGAAAUGGGUGGUGCUACUUGCAUUCAAGGUAAUUAAUCAUCGCUCUUUUCUACUUCAAUCAAGCUUGGUUUAUUUUGAGUUUUCAUCUUUAUUGUUAUAAUUUGUGGGAUAAAUGAGUUAUUUUCCCCAAAAAUUGUCUGACAACCUGCAAUCCAUAUUCACUUCUAAUCACGUGUCAUUCAAUAGCACAAAACAAACCCACAUAUAUAUGAAGAUUAUGUCAGAAGAUUGAAGUUAAAAAGUCAUAUAUCCAACCAUUUGAAGCCACCAUUUUGUAUGAUCAUUUGAUUUAGAUGAUAUGUUGCGAAGUGCAGAUCUAUGCUACACUAAAGAGUGGAUCCAUAGCCAUUGCUACAUCCACAUUAGAUUCAUUGCUAGAUCUCAGGAUCGGUGACAAAAACUUACUGCUACCAAUAUCCUAAUGGAAAAUUGCGGGUGUAGCUAGUAGACAUCAUUAUCUCUGUAGCUAUCAUGUAUUAAUUGACCUUUUAAUUUCUAUUCAUCUAAUGAUGCUUUAUGGGAUAUGAGAGUUGAUUUGAAUUUUAUUUUAUUUUUUGGUUGAAAUCCUUAUUUGAACGAAAAUGUCAUCACCUUAGAGUCGGAUUUUUUAUAAGGGUACGAUAAUUUUAAACAAUAAUUUCUAAAUUAUCGUAGUAGGAAAAAUAAUUCCAAAUCUACGGUAGUUUUUGCCAGGUAGGAGUGAAGGAUAUUUGUUUUCUUUAUCAACUUGGAAAUCGUCUAUUAAAAAUAUGAUUUCCAAAAAAUUUGGAAGAGAUGAUUUCCAUUUUUCUUUUUGCGGAUAAAUCGAUCAAUAGUGUACACUUAAUGUUUUUAUCACUACUUAAGGAACUUGGAGUUACUGGUACUUACAGUUGGGGUAAUGCUUACCUAGCUUGGCUAUAUCGAGAGAUAUGUCGAGCAUCCCAUAUUGAUGCACAUGAUGUAUUGGGUCAUCUCAUUUUGUUACAGUUAUGGAUAUGGAUGGAGUACUGCCACAACCACUUUUAGGCAUGCGGUAUGUAUUCAACCUUAGUUAUAGUAUAUGUAAAUACAUACAUGCAUAAAUAAACAAUUAUUCAAACUUUUAAUAUAUAUAUUCUUUUUGUAGUUGGAGAGAUGAGUUUUGUACUACUUCGACGUCUAUGCAUGUAUUACUCCAGUAUAGAUAUCUACUUGAUCGACUUAUGCCAGAGUAGGUGAGAAAUUCGUUGUUUUGAAUAAUUUUUUUAAACAAUUUAUAAUCAAAAUAUUAUUAAAUAAUGUGAGUCAUAUUUCAAAUUUAAUUGCAGAUUAUAUGGGAGCCAUAUACCGAUGAUGUCAUCUCUGAACUCCCAAAUUACUAUACUAUUGCUUUUGACUUGUGGUUGACUAUUUCACCCCUUAUCUGUUUUCACAUAGUGGAGUGGCAUAGAUUUGAUCGUUGUAUGAGGCAGUUUGGGCUACUACAACAUAUUCCCGAGCAAUGCGAUACAAAAUUAGGAUUACAUAAAUAUGAUUUGAGGGGUCGACAUGAUUUGGAUUGGAUAAGUAUUCAUCACCACUAUAUUCAAAGGUGGGAGGCUAGGUAUGAUCAUCUUGCUAGAGUUGAGGCAACAUAUACUUCUUACGGGUAUAACCACCCAUAUAAGGUGUGGUAUCGUUUUAUCACUCGCCUUUUUAUGACUCCACAUGGAUCUUCAUGGGAGAUAGUGGUAAUUAUAAUGUCUUUUUAUUUAUUAUUCUAUUUUAUUCUAAUUAGAAAAACAUUUAAUUUUUUAUUUUUAAUUCUUACAGAAUCGCAGUUUCCAACAGAUACAUCUAUGGACUGGUCUAAAUACACUGAAUAUAAGUCAUUGUGAUGAAAUUUAUCAAUUAUGUGCAACCACUUUAAAGGCUAUACACGAGGUUGAUAGGUUGCUUAUUCCCCCUAAUGUCGUUGAUACAUAGAGACAAUCAUCAGAUGAGGAGGUAGUGAUGAGAUAUGGUGGGGUACGAACUAGAGGUGGUAUGGUGCUGACCAGAGGUGAUGGGGUGCGGACCAAAGAUGGUGGGGUACAAACCAGAGGUUUAGAGAUACACGAGGUUGAUAGGUUGUUUAUUCCCCCUAAUGUCGUUGAUACAAAGACACAAUCAUUAGAUGGGGAGGUAGGAAUGAGAGAUGGUGGGGUACGAACUAGAGGUGGUGGGGUGUGGACCAGAGGUGAUAAGGUACGGACCAGAGGUGGAGGUGUUUGAACUAGAGGUGGAGGUGUACAAACACGUGGAUGCCAUAUUUAUGAUGAUCCACACUUCCCUAUUGAUGAUGCAUCGCUAGAUUUUCCAUCAUCAUCGCCUCUACAACAUUUUGUCUUCACUUUUUCAACACCACUUGACCAGUCAUUACCUCAUUCAUCAGUUCCAUUCAUUGAUGAGGGGGUGAUACAAGAAGAUGUUGGGACAUUAUUCAUCCAGGAGCUAUUGCAUUCUUAUAUUGAUGGGCCUUCUUUUCAUAUACUUAUGUCAUCUAGUAUCAAGGUGUCAUUUACUCCAUCUACAACACCACUCAUUGUUUUGUCACUACAAUCAUUAGGACAUCUAUUUAGAGAUGUUAUGGCGACACAAAUGCAAUAUUUUCCUACACCACUUGUUGAACAACAGGGAGAGGCUCAGGUUCAAGAUCAAGGACGUGGACAUGGAAGAGGUCGAGGCCAAGGACGAGGACGAGGAAAUGGAGCAACAUUAGAUGGUCCCUCAAAUCAAUCUGAGUUGGAAAGAUGUCAUCAACGCCCAUAACCAAGAAGGAAACCUCCUUCAUGUGGCACACAUUGAUGACUUUUAUAUAUUUUAUCGAACAUAAAUUGUUAAUACAUGUUUUUUUGUUACUUGUUGGUUUAUUUGUAUUGAUGUUGCAUAUUAACUUUUAUUGGUUGUUAGUUUACUAGUAACGUAUGUUAAUUUAUCGUCUGCUGGUAUUGAAGUUGUCAUGUAGUAAUAUUGAAUUUUAAUAUUUUAGCUCUGUUGACAUUCAUCGUUAUUAUUUUAUUAGUUGUUAUGAUGUUUGUUGGUUUAUUAGUUUAUAUAUAUGGACAAAGUAUUAGUUUUUUUUAUUUAUAAUAGUAGUUGAUUUUUUGUCAUUUAUUAUUUGAAUGUGUUUGAUUGUUUAGUGAUUGAACAUAUUAAUGUAAGUUAUCAAUUGAUAUAUAUACUUUCUUUGUUGAUGGUUCAUAUGAAUAAGGUUAUUGGUUUUUUUGCAUUCACGAUAAUAAUUGAAUUUCUAUCAUAGUUGAUAUUUUAUUAAUUGUUGGGCUAUUGUUGGUUUUUUAACAUUUACAUAAAUAAUGUUAUUGGUUUUUUAUAAUCAUGAUAUUUUAUUUUAAUUUAUUUUUUUAUAAUUAAUUCCUUUUACAGUGAAAUUUGAAGUAAUAUUUUUAAUUUUAAAAUUUAUAUAAUAAAAUUUAUUUUAUAAAUAAUUAUUUAAUAAAUUAAUAACAAAUUUGUUUUUUUAUAAAAUCAUUUUUCACAUAAACAAAAAAGAAAUAGAUAAAUAUUAUUUAUCUUAUAAAUAAAAAACAAUAUCAAACUAAAUUAAUUUUACUAGUUGUAAUUAAUUGAAUUAAUUUAAAGAAAAAUUGAAGAUUAAGAACAAUUAAAAUUAUUUAACUUAUUUUUUUUAUUAUAUUUUAUUGAUUUUACAGUGAAAUUUUAACUAAAAUAUUAAUAUUUUUAAUCUUAAAAUUUAUACAAUAAAAUUAAUUAAAAAAUUAAAACAAAACAAAAUUAUUUAUUUUGUAAAUAAUUAUUUAAUAUAUUAAUAACAAAUUUGUUUUUUUAAACUCAUUUUUUCACGUAAAUUGAUAACAUUUUUUUUUAAUUGCAAAGUGAAAGAAAAAAAUAGAUAAAUAUUAUUUAUCUUAUAUUAAAUUUAGCAAAUAAAAUUAAUUAAUUGUAUAAUAUAUAUUUAUAAUAAUUGUAUGAGUAUAAUUAAUUUUUUAAUUCCAAAUUGGAUUUAUAAUAUAUUGUUAUAUUAAAUUAUAUUAUUUCUUUUUAUAAUAUAUACAUAAUUAAUGGUAUUAAAAUAUAUUAAAAUUUUAAAUUUUGGUGGAAAUCGUAUCUCCAAGAGACGAUUUCCAAUUAUGAAUUUUUUUUUUAAAUCAUUUUUUGAAAAGACUAUUUCUACUUUCUUUUUUCUUUUUUUGAAAAUAGACAAUUUCAUUUUUUUUUUUAAUAGGGAAAUCAUCUCUUCAAAAGACGAUUUCCAAUUCAAUUUUUUGGAAAUCAUCUUUUUAACAAACGAUUUCUGAGUGGUUAUUAUAUAUAUAUUUGUUUUGGUGGAAAUCAUCUUUUAUAUAAUAUUUGUUUUGGUCGAAAUCAAUUAUUAAAUAAUAGAUAAAUAUUAUUUAUCUUCUAUUAAAUUUAGCGAAUAAAAUUAUUUAAUUGUAUAAUAUAUAUUUAUAAUAAUUGUAUGAGUAUAAUUAAUUUUUUAAUUCCAAAUUGGAUUUACAAUAUAUUUUUAUAUUAAAUUGUAUUAUUUCUUUUUAUAAUAUAUACAUAAUUAAUGGUAUUAAAAUAUAUUAAAAUUUUAAAUUUUGGUGGAAAUCGUCUCUUAUUGUGGUUUUUUUAUUUUAUUUUUUUUGGGAAAUCAUCUUUUCAAGAGACGAUUUCCAAUUCAAUUUUUUAGAAAUCGUCUUUUCAACAAACAAUUUCUGAGUGGUUAUUUUAUAUAUAUAUAUAUAUAUAUAUAUGUAUAUUUGUUUCGGUGGAAAUACAAUUUUCAAGUUGAUAAAGAAAACAAAUGUCCUUCCCUCUUACCUGGCAAAACUAACGUAGAUUUGAAAUUAUUUUUCCUACUAUGGUAAUUUAAGAAUUAUUUUUUAAAAUUACCGUACUCUUAUAAAAAAUCCCCUUAGAGUCACUAGUUUGUUGCUAAAGAAGACAAGUCACUUGCACAUAUUUAAAUACUGUGAAAAUUGGAUUUUGUAGUUCUUAGCUUGUUAAUUAUUGAAGCUUCACUGUACUGUAGAUUUAGAGAUACGAAAACGGAUAUAUAUAUAUAUAUAUAUAUGAACAAUUUAUGCAUUAAAAUCUUGUAGUUGGACAAAAUUGCCUUAAUCCUAUCAGUUUAUUAUGCUAAUGAGUGUGGUUCAAAGAGAAGACUUCUUCAAGUGUACAAUAAUAUCGAAAAACACAAAAUCUUUAGAAUUAAUCAAUAUGUAUACCCUCAUAUAGCAAAGUUUCUUAGGCUCAAUAUUCGACUUUUCUUAGGUAUAAGUACUCUUUUUGAAUUUUUUUUUCUUUAUACAUGAUUUUGAUAUGUAAUUGUAGUUUGAAUGGUCGUGUUGAUAGUUUUUUCAUGUUAUUAACUUGUUUUUUGAAUAAUCCUCCAAUAUAGUAAUUACUUAGAAAUAUAAAAUUGGUGAUCAAUUAUGAUCUUGUUUGGGAUAACUUUCUAUUUUUUUACUUCAACUUAAAGUUUAAGUUGAAGGUAAAGUCAUAAUUUGUAAAGGAUAAUAUUGAUAGUGUAAACAUUUUAUUUAAUAGAAAAAACUUAUUGCAUAAACCAAAAUAAAGUCUCUACAAAAAGUAAUAUUUUUUUACUUUCAUAUUAAACCCCUUUUUAAGUGGUAAGCAAUUUGAACAAAGUUAUCCAUAAUAGGUAUAAAAGUUCUUAGUAAGCUUAAAGAAAAACAAAACUUUUGUUUCUUAGAACUCGUGAUUUACAUAAUUAAGAAUUUGUGUCAAAUUGUUUUAAAAAAUACAGGUAGUUUCUUCAGAACUGUUUUUUAAAACAGUUCUUUCUAGGACAAAAGUCCAUUUGGGAACUUUGGAAGAUUUUGUUUUCUUAAAAGUAACUUUUUAUUUGUAGUGUUUUAUUUUUCAUCAUUUUUCACAUUUGCAUAGUUAUUUUUUAAAAUAGCCCCUAGAAAAUAAUUGAAAACAAUUAAGAUUUGUUUUGAAAAGAUACUUUGUUUUCUUAACAAUUAUUCAAAAAAAUUGUUUCUUGUUAAAAAAUUACCAAACAUGUUUUUUACUAUGGAAAAAUAGAAAACUGUUUUUCAAAAUCAUUCCUAAACAAGUUUUAAUUUUCUAUAUAAAUUCCUGGUUUUUCAGAAUUUGACUUAUAAAAAUCAUCAUUUGCUACAAACUAAAAAUGCCUUUUUCUUUCAAUGGAAGCAAGUUGACAUUGAACUUCAAGAAGAUUUACCCUUGAAAAAAGCUCAUACCAUAGGAGAGACCUUGCAGAUAAAGAUUAAAAAGCUUCCUAAAGUUAAGUGGAUGUUUGUUCAUCUGAUUUCGAAUGUGAUAACAAUCUCUGAGUAGGCUAUCUAAUAAUCAAGCUUUUUUUUUGGAUUCCUUGUAUUAAAAAGUACGAUGAGCUCAAAUAUUGAAAACUUAACUUUUAGAAAAAUUAGUAAUUCAACACCUUGGUUGUUAUAGAUGUUGACAUUUUCUUUUCCUAUUAUGAGUGGACAUUCAUCACUAUAUUUGUGUAAUAUGUAAGGGAUAUAGACUUAUAUAUAUAUUAUUUAAGUUUAUAUCAAUUGAUAAAUAGAUAAGUCAAUGGAUAAGGCAUCCAAGCACUACAAAGAAAAAAUCAAUUUGGACUUAUAUUAUCUUGAUAAAUAGCAAUAUAUGUCAAUGUUGUGUAUUAAAAUGAGCAAUUAUGACAGAAUGAAUUAUAAUGAUGCAACCUUGACAAACAAUUUAUAAGUUACUAUAUAGUUGAUGUAUUCAUAUAUAUAUAUAUAUAUACUAAAUUUUUAUGUUAUUUAUAAUGAUAUAUAACCUAUAGAAAAUUGGUAUAAGUUUAUAUAUAGUUAAUAUAUUCAUAUAUGAAGGCUAUACUUGACAACAUACCAUUUUUUAAAGUCUAUCAAGAUUGAUUUUAGCAUAUAUUGAAAAUUUUGCUUUUAAUUUUUUUUUUUUCAAUUUUCACCAUUGAAAAUUUUGUGAAAAGGAGAUUAAUUGUUUAUAAAAAUUUAUUGGAUUCUAUAUUAAUCCUUAAUGUUAAUGUUAAUAUCCCUUAUAGGAUUAGGUUCUUAUUCUUGUAUUCUUUUAUGAUCUAAAUUAGGGUUUGAUUAAAGAAUAAAAUGUAGCAUGAAUCGAGGUUUUAUUAAAAGAUAUAAUAUUGCUUCUUCUUUUAAGAGUUCUAUUUAUUUUUUUACAACUUUAGUACUUUCAAAAAUGUUUUUAUGAUAUUUUAAACAACUUUGGUGCUUUAAAAACAUCGUCCUUAUUUGAGGUAAUUUUGGUGCUUCUUAUAAGCAUGCAUACACAAAAUUAAUAUUUAGGAUAAAAGCUUGUUGCUUAUAAUAACAAAAUUUAUUAUCUUCAAAUGAGACCAUUAAAAAUACGUAUUUAUUUUGUUUUUUUAUUAAAAUUUAAUUGUCUUUUUAUAAAAUUGCUUUUGAUAGAAAUGAUACUAAUAGAGUCAUUAUUGUUUUUUUAAAAAAAAUACUAAAAUAACUAAAAGCAUUUUUCACCUUUUAAUUUAUAUGAGUAAAUCAUAAUAUUAAAAGUUAUUUGAAAAAUAAUCAAUUUUUUUUUUAACAUAAAUGUUUUUUACAAUUUCAGGUAUUUACAUAUAAUUUUUUUUUAAAGGUUACUUUUACCAUAAAAAGAUGAGAACAUUUUUAUCAAAAUAAGGUAAAAAAAAUGAAAGGUUAGACCUUGUUGGAUAAUGUUUUGGAAAAAGCCUCUGAAAAAUAGUUUUUAAAAUUGUUUUAUGAUAUUUUAUAAAACAAAAAUUUGUUUGGAAACCUAAAAUGGUUUUAACCUAUUUUUAAUAUUAUUAAAUAUGUUUUAAAAAUAAUUUUUAUCUUCACAACUUUAUUUUUAAUCAUUAUAUAUAUUUAUAUAAUUAUUUUUUAAAAUAAAUAUAAAAAAACAAGUUAAAACAAUUAAAAGAUGUUAUUUGAAAACAAUAUAUUUUAUAUUAAGAACACAAAAUAGAAAACAAUUUCUUGUUACCAAAACGUAUUUUCUAAUUUUUUUUUACUUUAGAAAACAAAAAAAACUGUUGUUGAUCAAAUAAGUUACCAAAAACUGUUACAAAAAUUUGGUUUUCAACUAUUCUUUUAAUCAAAUAAGUUAAUUUUAUAUUGGGUUUCUGCUGUGGUCCAUGGGUGUCUAGCCCAGAAUUGUAUUUGAUGUGGCCCGUGGUUGUGUUUGAGCCACACACACUGACAAUGAUUCCUUUCAAACCGAAAAAGUGUCAACGUGAUAUAAGGUAAUGUUUUUUUAUUGCUAACAAUAGACUAUUAGUAGAGCAUAGAGCUGCAGGGUGUCCAAAUUUGAGAGAGGAAGAGGAGGAACCCCUUGGGAGUCCCAAGAGCUACUUACUAGCUCCAUCAUGCACAUGGCUUAAGGUUUUAGUUGAAAUUUUAACAGUAGCACCCACCUCUACUCCUCUUUUAGCUCCAAAAUUAUUUCCAAAUUUUUCUUUGCCUCUCUCUUCUCUGUCAUAUGAGCUUUGCUGACCCUUUAAUGAUGCAUGGGGUGAUGUCAAAACAACAAGACCACAAUGAGUAUUUCAAUGAAAAUGCGUUGAUGAUGAUCUUCUUAAUCCUGAAUUCUGAUAUGAUAAAUGACAGAUUUAGUGGACAGAAGAAACACUAGUACUACUUAAAUAAAGAAUUCAGUGUAGCAUUACAUUUUGUAUUGAGCAAUUUGAGAAUUCAUCAUAACCACCAUCCCAACAAAGUAAAACCAAAGGAAGUUUCCCACAGAACUGCAUCCACUUUGAAGUUUGAAAAGAAGUCUUACUGUGGUAUAAGUUAUAUAACAAGUGAUCAUUGUGGGCUGUGGAAAAUCCCAAAAGAUAGGUUAAAAGCAAUCACCAUUGGUGCCUAUGUGUUUGUGCUUCUCAGUACAUAUCAAUGAAUCAGUUUCGCUCUCAAUUUCAAGUCAAUAUUGGGAUGUAGUGAUUCAUGAUAACCUGGGUUUUGUCAUAGCACUGAAUCAUGAAUUCAUUUCUUGUUAAUUGUAUUGGGACUUGGAAAGAGAUUCCCAUCAUUCCCUUGGUUCUUGGAGAUUCUUCUCUAAUCCUCCAUUUCCUAUAAUUAAUUACAGAAAAGGAGAAGUCAAGGGAGACAAACUUCGAAUCUUUUUAGAAAGAUGGUGGGGAAGGGUGAAAGAAAGAAAAGUAACCAGACCAGGAGGGUUUCUGGGAAGACUGGGAAGGCCACCACCAACCCACUCAGCCUCAACCACGUCUGGUACAAUGUGGAAAAGAAUUACUAAAAAAAAGUGGCACAUGGCAUCGUAUGAUUUCAACCAAUGGCUUGUAAUCAUGGACCCCCACCCUUGGAGGCGGCCGCAGCCGCCUUCACCAGCACCACCGCCACCAGCACCACCACCAUAGAGUUGGGUGAACGUGACAUUCACUCACAUUAACAUCAUUGCGGAUCUCUAUCUGAUGAUCUUAUAAAGACGAAUCUUUUUAAUAAAAUCAUCUCACACGUGCCUCACACUUUUAAUUUUUACUCCUGAUAUUAUUUUAAGAUGGAGGUGGAUGAAUAGGGAACUAGUCCCUUUUACCGUUUGGGAAAUUGCAUGCCAUGGCAAAUUGGCAAUGGUGCACUUCUCCACCAUCAAUAUUGGAGGGUAGGGGGCUAUCGAUUAAAAAGGAUGGUCACUAGACGCCAAACCCAAAUAUGGAAACUGUUUAGAUUUCUAACAAAAGGGUCCCUACCCCACAAAGAGAGGUCACCUUAUUGGUAGUUGUGGUCCUAACCCUAAGCCCCCGCCAUCUGAUCACUUCAUCAAAGGCCUAUCACCCAUAACUUUGUGUCAGAUCAGAUAGGAGAGGACCUUCUACAACUUGGGUUGGGUGGUCCAGGCAGUUCACACUUGUCUCUUAUCAGUUGAGAUCAGGGAGGAGCACUUUGGGUGCAGGUGAUGAGAGUACAUGUGGUCCAGUGUAUGCAAAUCCAUCUAAGAGUAGCUUCAAUUAUUUAACUAGAAAAGUUCAACAGCAACAAGUGAAUAAUCUUUGAGGAGACAAGGAUAAAGCCAUUGUUUAAAUUCCUGCUGUUUUGCAUUGAGAAGUAGAGAAAGUUACAUAGUGGAGGAGGGGACUCGUAUAUUUGAAUUCCAAAUACAUACAUAUGGAGUCCCGCCUUCCUUCUGAGACAGUAAAAAAAAAAAAGCAACAUGAAACUACGGUACAACAACAAUGACAAUAACAGUAACAGUGACAUCCCUUUAGGCUUGUUAUGAACAUCAACAAGAAUUGAAGUCCUGAUGAGAUCUUCCCUUGUUAUAGAAAUGCUUAUUAACUGCAAUUCUUGUAAAUCAGUAGCUAGUCUUGAAGGGCUUGUAAACCUUGAGGUCAAGAAUAACCCCUGCAACUGAGCCAGCAGCCGCAGCAAUGGAAAUAAUUAGGCAAGCAAAGCUGAGGAUUUGGAGGCAAAGCCAUCUGGUACUCCAUUUUGGGAUCUUCUUCUGUGCAAUAUACAUCUCCACUGGGAAAUAUACUGUCAAAGGCCAAAAUCCAAAGGCCCCAAGGAUUCCAACUACGUCAUUGAAGAAUGGCAUGAGCAUGGAUAUGACUGUGGUUAUUAUCACAAAAAUUGUUCGCCAAACCAGGCGGAAGAGGUUGAGAUUGUAAGGCUUGAAACCCGGAAUUGGGAUUUUGAUUUCCUUGGUGAUGAACUGGCUAUCAGGGAACUUCUCUGCUGCCCAUUUUUCAAUGAAGGCGAAGAGGGGCUGGCAGUAGACUUGGUAUGCUCCAACAAGAUGGAUAACUAUUGCUGCGUUUGCUAUAUCAAGAAGCCAAUACGGGUUAUAGAAGCCAAAGCCAGUGAGGAGGUUUCCAGGGGCCAGGUCUCCAAAAGCAGCAUAGCCCAUGCAGCCACAGAGCAUGUAAAACAGUGUGGUCACUAUAACACUAAGAAGAGUGGCCUUCUUCAUUGUCUUCUUCUCUGAUGGAGGAGAUUUGAUUGUGUCCUGUUAUUUAAUAAAUCAGAUAGUUCAAUAUAUAAAAGAACCACCUGUUUGAUGAAUUCAGUAUAAAUAAAUAAAAAAAGGAUCUGUACCUGAAUCUCAAUGAGGAUGAUGGAGUAAGAGUAGGCAAAAGCUAUGUUCCCAAGUGCUUGGAAGCUCCUCCAUAUUUUUUGAGUUUGUGUGACAGUGCCAAUGCUAAUCCCAGUGAGACUUCCUCUAAAUUUUCCACUUUCUGGACAAUAAGGGGGGAAAAUAGCUCAAGUUAGUUAUGUUAGAAUUCAUCAAACUGACCAAAUUCAGUUUAGGCUCCAGAUUAUAUGAUCAGAAAUUCUAGGUAAGUUGUUUGUACCUGCAACUUUAGCGACUCCAAGGCCUAGACCGAUUGUGGAGUAAGCAAAGGACAUGAUUGCUGCAACAAUGGAAAGCCACCAUAUCUGAUCAAAGUCUGGUAUUUGAGAGAGAAUGAUUUCAAAGAUCCCAAACAUGAUCAUAUAUGGAUUGCUUGAAAUGUGGCAUGGAUUUUUGUCAUGACUCUCGUGGAAGCAGUUUGAUCUUUUGAUUGCCCUGUGUCGUUAAAACCCAGCAAAAAACAAAAUUAAUCCAACAACUUCCAUGCAAAGAAAUCAAACAUCAUUGAACUCUUGAUUCAAACUUCAAACUCACAUCAUGCUUAUAGAUGCUGCAAUGGUGUAGCCAAUGGCCACUCCAAAAAGGUUCAGGUACUGAAUUAGCCCACAUAUCUUCAUCUUAGCUCCACCUAAGAAGAUCAAAAAACCACCAAAUAGAGAUCAGAAUUUAGGCUUCUGAAAGGUGCUCACAAGCUGAUUCAACCCAAAUUUCUCGUAUAACAAACGUACCAAGAUUGGAACGAACAGCAUCCAUGUAAGUAUAGUUUCUCUUGCCAGUCACAGAGUCACCCGUACGGUAGCAAGAAGAAAGAAGAACUGAGGUGUAGUAAGUUACAAAUGAGAACAAGAAGAGCACAGCAGGGCCAGCAAUCCAUCCAAGCUGAGCAGUGGCCCAGGCCAAGGAGAGGACACCCGACCCAAUCACAGCUGUUAUUAUGUGAGCACUAGCAGUCCAGAAAGUACCUGUUUGGCAUAUAACAUGAGAAAAUGAGCUUAACAAUUCUUUAAAAAAAAUAAUAAUAAAUAAAUAAAUAAAAACACAUAAUUUGGAUAACUUUGUUGAGGGAUAUAGAAAGUUACCAGUCCUCUUGAGACGGCCAUCAUCAUCGAAGCACUUGGAGGCACCUUGAGGUACCCCAUCGAUGUCGAAGACUUGGUGUGGUUGCAGGUCCUUCGGGGCGGAGCUCAUCUUUUGUUAUGAAAGAGACCAACACAGAUGAUCUUUAAUUUCUGAGUGAGGUAUAUAAAAAGAAAGGCCACUGGUGCCUUAUUGAAUGGUCUUAAAGUUUGUGCACAGAAAAUUGAAAUGAAAUCGUAACAAGUGAAAACAGGGAUAGAUGGGAAGAGAGAGAGAGAGGCGUUCUUCCUUAUCACUCUAGCUAGCUGUUUAUCGGUGAUAUUUACUCACUGGCACUGAGACUGACACCCUUCCCAAGACUCACAAAGACCCAAAUGGACCAACAGAGGUGGGUGUGGUAGAAUCAAACUCAGAACCCAACCCACAGACACACAGUUUGCGUUCGGACUUCAGAGAGCUCUCUCCCUUGCAGUGGAGAGUGCGAGCUGAGAGUGAAUUGAAUUGGAUGCUAAGAUGAAGGGGAAGGACUGGGGUAUAUAUAAUAUAAGUGGGUGCGAUUAAGGAAGAAAAAGAAAAAGUGAUGUGAAACCACGUGUUCCAAACGACCCCCCCCAAGACGACGCGGGAGGUCAACGACCGGCGGAUUUAAACGGGUCCCCAAACACACCCACUCACAGCCACAGCCACAACCACUGAACCGCUUUUGGCUCCAGGCAGCUUCAUGGAUGCCUCUCACCUCCCCUAAAAAUCUCCUAAUAAAUUUCUGAGUAUGUGUUGUUUCACCCCCACGGCCCCCUCCAACACAACUUGCACACGCUUCUCCUUUUCAAAUCUAAUACGCAAUUGCAUUUGUAACAGACACACCACGAAGUCGCCCCUUGAGGCCCCCCACCCCCGCCCCCCUUUUUUUAUUUUUUUGUAUAUUUUGUCAUUAAUACGCAAAGGGUGAGGGUGUCACCUAAAAAAGUAACAUUUGUAAAACCCUUUUUAUCACACAUCUUUUGAUUCUUCGACCUCAACUUAAUUUAUUUUUUUACUAUAUAAAAAAAAAGUGAAAAUUUGUUGGAUGAAAAAUGUGAGAAUUCCUUUUAUAAUAAAAACAAUUUUCAGUUGAGCAAAUCGGUUUGGCAUAAUGCAAAGCUUAACAUUGAUAAUCUUUCAAAAAAACAUGUUCAACCAAAAAAUUAUAAUAAAUCAUAAAAAUGUAAAAAAGUUAUCGGUAAGUUAUUAUUAAUAUAUAUCAUUGGUUCACUAUGUAACAAUAUUCUUAUGUUGUUAAAAUCCCGAUAUGUAUUUUUUAAGAAAAGUUGAAUUAAAUUUCAUCUAUUUAGGAAACAAGGAAGUACUUGACAGAAGAAACUAAUACUCGGAAAGAUUGAUAAUCAAAAGAAGAAAAAGAAAAGAAGCAUUAUAAGUCUCAUACCUUCAUUAACCACACGUCUCUUCCUUGUUGGAUGAAAUAUUAGAGCACAAAAAGAGAAGAGGAAAGCUAGUUGUGGGGAGUGUGUUGGACGAGGGUGGAGUAUAUAUAGGGGAGAAGAAAGGAGGUGAAGCAAUAUUUUGAAUAAAAUAUCUUUAAAAUGCCACCUUAGAAUCAAGAUCCUCACGUGUAUGGGCUCUCCUCCAUUCUUGCUGAAAGGCAAGGAAUAAGGUUCUUUCAACAGUGUUCAUGAAUGUAACAGCUGGGUGCAGAAGCAACUGAGAGAAAGGAUAUCAUUUUCAGUCAAAAAAAAAUGGUUCUAUAAUAAUCCAGCCAUAGUCUUAGCACUUAUGCCCUUUAAUAAUUAUCUGCACAAAUCAUUUCUAUUCAUGGAUGGACAAAUAGCAUCUUAUUCCCUCUUAAUUGUUCCCUAAGACUGAGGAAAGAAAGGUCAUUAGCCAAAGGCACUUGGCUCUUUAGAAUCAGUAUCUCUCUAUUCUGAUAUCCUCCUCCUUCUCCCUCUCAUUCUGCCUUCUCUUUUUUUUUUCUUUAAUUUCUUUGUACUUACAAUAAAAAAUUUAAAUACUAAACAACGCUCAAUUUAAAUAUAAUACAUAAAACACAAGGGUCUGAUACCAUGUUAAGUUAUUAAAUUGAUUAUAAAUUCAACGAUUAAGUAAUGAUGGGUUUGUGACUUUAACCACCGGCAACAUCAAUUCAAGACCAAAAUUAAAUGAGGGUGAAAAGGCAGCUAAUGGAGGUGUGAGGGGUGGCUCAAAAGUUGUACCUCCAAGUGCCACCAAUUUAGAGUUAAAACAUUAUAUUUCCACUAAAAAGAUUGCCCCAUUAACAAAAUGCAUGGCCCAAUGAUUACCCAUUAAAAAUUUUAAAUUAAUAAACUUAGGCUAAAAUUGGUAUAUUUCAUUUUGUCCCUACACGUGGUGAAACACCCAACCCACAUUUUGGGUUCUCAAGUGCAAGGCCACUUGCUAUAGACACAAACCCUAAGUUCAUGUAACGAAAUUUUAAAUUUUCAAAUAUUCUAAUCCAAAAGCCUAGGUCUAAAUGUUUUAGCUACUUGAUUUUGAUGUAACCCUUGUGGCCUCUAUUGCAUAAAUUUCCUAGAAGGAACUAUAUAUCUAUAUAAAGCAGUUUCAUGCUUUGACCAUCUCAAUAUGUAGUUGGGUUCACUAAAAAGGAUUAAAGUUCAUUACAUGUGGGGAAUGAAUCCAAUUUUUAGAAGAAAAUUUCAACAUGGGUUUCCCUUCUUUAGAAUCAGUGUUCAACUUACUCACGGAUUAAUGAACCCUAAUCAAUCACAUGGCCUCACUUCCAAUUAAUUGGUCGAGGACCAUGUGAUAUAAAGGACAAAACCCAAUGUUAUCAUGCAAUAGGAAAUAAAGUUUGAUUAAAAUUAUCAAACAAGAAUCAUAUAUGCCAAACACUAUUGUUAGGUUAAACUUAAUGUUACAAAUAAGACAAUGAGACAUGUCUUAAUGUUUUCAUCAUGUUAAUAAUUUUUGGUCCGUGACAAAUAAAAUAAUUGAACGGAUAAUAAAAAAUUUGAAAUACAACAUAUGGAUAAUUAUCAUCUAACUUUAAAUCCAAGGAAUAUAAUAUGUUAAAUUAUCAUUCCACCUCAGAAUCAAUAUAACUUUGAAUAAACUUACCAUAAUUCCAUAUCAAACCAUAUUAAUAAUAUCUUGAUUUUAGAAUUCUAAAUUCAUUUUUGUCUCCGAUAAAAUUUAAUUUUUAAUAAUAAAAUAAGCAGAAAUACAAAUAAUUAGUACUUUGCCGUGAUUAAAUUUUAUACUUUUAAAAGACUAUCUUUAAAAUAUUUUUGUUAAAUACAAAGAUAAUUAUGAUAUUUUUAAAAUUUGUAAUCAAAUAAAAAUAAGCUUCUCUCACCUCAUAGAGGAAGCAUAGGUUUCUAAACUUCUUUAAAACCCGAUAAAUUACAUUUAGAAGUAUAAGACCCAUGAUUCAGAAUUUCAUUUGAACAUUCUUAAAAAUUAUAUUUAACCAUUAAAUAUUACUUUUAAUGUUUGAAAAGCUCUAUCGACUUGAAUCAUUGAAGCCUUCACCAAUAAUAUUGAGGACUUCCUGAUGAUGACUUGAGCUCAAUUUUUUUAUAAUCCCUUUUAAAAGAUCUUUCUUAAAAAGUGUGUUACCAACGGUUGAAAAUCUUGCCAAUAUCUUUUUAAUUAAUUAAUUAAUACUCCUUCCUUGGUGAGGCCUAUCACAAAAACGACUGGCCGACCUGGGAAGUUAAGAUAUGUAUUACAAAUUCAAUUUCAAGAGAAGUAGUCCAUCAACUCCUGCUUAAGAUACCAUGGGUCUUGAGAAAGAAGAUCAAACCAACAAGAGGGACUAUUAGUCAAAAAGGUCUAGGCAUAGCUGAAAUGUUUGAACAUUCGAUAUUCAACUUUGAGGGUAGACACUGACCCCCCACCUUUAUCUCCUCUCUUUUUUCACCAUAGAAUAUAAAACACCCAUAUGGAGUGUGUUUGUCUCAUUCAAACAAGAAUAAAAUAAAAAUAAAAAUGAAAGAUAACCCAUGAUGUAAAUCCAAAUUUUGAUGAGAAUAAGCUUUAUUCUUCAAUUUUAUGAAAAUGGAAAUUAGGGGUAUGUUUGAUAAUAGUUUUUGAAUUAUUAUCUAAUAUUUCAUAAAAUAAAAGUUUAUUUGAAAUUUUAAAAUAUUUUAAAUUUAUUUUUAAUAUUUUUAAAUAUAUUUUAAAAAUAUUUUUUAUGUCUAAUACUUUAUUUUUAAUCAUUUUACAUAUUUUAUAUAAUUAUUUUUUUAAACAAUCAUAAAAAGGAGAUAUUGUCUAAAAACACUCGUUGAAAACAGUUUUUAAUCAUUACACGUGUUUUCCUAUUUUUGAAUGAGAGAAAACUGUUCUCGGCCCUAGAUAAUAUUUUCAUUUUUUUUAAUUUUUCUUUCAACUCCCCUGAGUAUAUUCUUUAAGUAUUUGUUAAGAGAAAAAGAUUCAUUUUGUACUUACUACCAAAAAAAAAAAAAAAAAAAAACAGAGACAAAAAGAAGCCUAAGUUAAGAUGAACCUUUACAUCCUGGGUUUUUUUUUUUCUUUUCUUUUCUUUUGUGGAUAGGGACUGAUCUUGGUCUUAAAGUUUAAAAAGGGCAUUAGGUGGUGAAAAAUAUCUCCAUAUUGCCAGUACUUUUUUCAAUUGGCUUUAUCUUCUUCAACCUUCAACAUCCCCAACCCAGAAUAAUGUUUUUCAAAUUCGAUGUGAAGUUGCGACUGGUCGCCGAAUUCGAAUGAGGGCAUGUGAAUUAGAAUCCAGGAUAAGAAGCUUUGGGUGGGCAGCUUUAUUAUAAUGGUCCUUUGAAAUUAGAGAAAAUGACACCCAUUUAUAAAUUCCUUACUUGUUAAAAUUUGGCUCUAGCUAGGAUUUAAGUAUGAGAUGGGGCUUGGCUUCCAAUGCAUAUCUUCUUUCCUUGUCUCGGCCCUCCUUCAAAAAUCAUGAAAGUUCCACCAUAAAUGCAUAUGGAAGUUCAUUAUUGAAUGCGACAUACAUUUAUUGGGCAACAAAAUUGGUACCAUCUGCCCUAGUGUGAACGGCAGUGAUGGGGUAAUGUCAUGUGUUUUGACUAAAAUGUGGAACCACUCCCAUUGAAUACUGCAAUUAUUGUUGGAGAAUUUCUAUUGUCAAGCCCUUGAAUGCAACCUUCUAACUUCCUUUGAAAUUUUGUUCAUUUUAAAUCAUUUGUAGAGGAGAAAAAUAAUUGUCUCAUCCCCUGUUUUCAAAGCCCCUUUUGUUUUGGUUCAAUUGAGUACAAUGGGGUGUACACCUUGGAAUAUUCCCCUCCCUAUGAGACUUAAAUUAGUCAAAAAAAUUUAUUAUUUUCAAAAUAUUUGAAUUUGUCAAGACCAAAUUUCUUCAAAGGUAUGAAGAACUUUGAGAAAUUCAAGCAUGAAGGAUGUUGACUGUGUGGCAAUAAGUGUCUUCAAUAAUUAAAGCUCACAUCAUCUCUACCUCACAAGUUCAUCAAAUUUAUUCUAGUGGGGCUUAUCAGAACUGAAAAUACCUUGUCUUUUAUACCCAUUUCUAGGAUAUGGAAGCAUAUGGAAAAAUAUUGCUUGAAAUUAUAGAUGAUAAUGGAGAUGGUACCACAAGUAAUUGCUUUAUGAAGGACAACUUGGAGUUAGCAACUAGGAGAUGGGUACAAGUUUUUGGACCAUUCCUAGGAUGAAGAAGAAUCACUAUUUAAAAAUAUUACAAUAAAAAUAAGAUGAUCUUUUUUUCUUUUUCUAUAUAUAUAUAUAUAUAUAUAUAUAUAUAUAUAUAUAUAAAAGAAACUCAUUUUUCUUGUAAAUAAAAUUUCAUAAAAUAUUCUUAAAGCAUCAAUACUUUUUCCAUAAACUUGUGUAGGCAUAUUCUCAUCCUCUUACAAAAGUGGAUGAAAAAUAAGUGUGGUGAUAUGUUGAUAACCAAAAAUAGGGGGGGAGAAACUUCACUUUGAAGCUUUAAUAAAUUGGUGUCUUAAUUAAUUCUUCUUAGAGUUUGUUCAUUGUUCAUUGUUGGGAUUUCUUUUCAAUAAUGGAUUUUUUUUUUCUUGAAUGAUGAUUUUUAUAUUGUUGAUUUAAAAGAAAGAGUCAACAAUAAAAAUAUUUAAAACCCAAAAGAACAUUAAGGUCUAAAGAUACCAAAGGCAUGUUUGGUUGCUCAUUUUUUAGAACAAUUUUUUAAAAUUAUUUUUUAAUGUUUUGUAAAACAAAAAUAUGUUUGAAAACUUAAAAUAUUUUUAGCAUAUGUUUAAAUAUGUUUUUAAAAUAAUUUUUAUAUCUAAUGUUUUGUUUUUAAUCAUUCUAUAUGUUUAUAUAAUUAUUUUUUUAAAUAGUCAUUAAAAAACAAAUAAAAAUAAAAGAAAAUAACUAAAAGAUGAUUUUUAAUAACAUGUUUUGAUUGUCAAAUGUAUUUUUUUUAUUUUUUGUUUUUUAAAAAAAAAAAACUAUUUUCGUUAUGAAACGAAUCCCAAAUCUCCAUUUUACAAAAUUCAACAAUAGAAAAAAUCAAUCUUUGAUUUAAGCCUAUAUUAUUUUAUUUUUAUUUUAUAUUAUAUAUAAGAUAAUUAUAUAUAUAUUAGGUAGGAAAUUAAAGAUAUAUUUUCAUAAAGAUGUAAUAAAGUCUCAAGACAUGGUAUUUUAUUAUUAUUUAAAAUUUUAUGACUCGUACCACAAUUAAAAAUAUAAGUAGACUUUGAAAUAUGAAUGUUUUCUUUAUUAAAUUCAAAAUAUGUUUUACUUUGACCCCAUUGAUCUUCCUCAACAAAGAUUAUUUUCCUAAAAUUUUCUUUAAUAGUGAAAAUUUUCAAUUUUUUGAAUUGUGUAUGAAAUAAAUUUUUUGACCUCUUUAUGGAUGUAGGCAGGUUUAUUAUUUUUAUUUUUUUUUUUAAAUAUCAAAACUAAAGAAGAAUAUAUAUUUUUUUGAAUAAUAAAAACUAGAAAGAAAAUCAAUAUUGGUAUAGAAAAUAGAAUUGAAAAUAAAAUACUAUUAAUAGAAAGAAAAAAAAAGGAAAAGUAGUAUAGAAAAAUAGAAUUAAAAACAAAAUCCUAUAAAUAGAAAGGCAAACACUAGGUAACAAUAAGUUAAUAACUUAAUAACGCUACAUUACAGUGAAUAGUAUACGCGUAUGAGAAUUGAAUACUCGCCAUCACAGCCGCCCAAGCCUUCGUCCUCAUUAGACGGUAGCAAGACAGUCAACGAACAUGGGGUGGGGGAAUUAGGGACCCACUCGAGACCAUUGGGCUUUUGUCCUUUAAUGGGUUCGGCAGUCAACUCUGGCCGUCUAUUAUUGGGCUCCUUUUUUCCGCAUCCCAGCCCACUGAUGGCGACUCUUUCUUUGUAUUUAUUGUUUUUUAUACCCACUGGUUGAGCCCAGUUUUGAAAUUUUGGGCACGUGUAGUUGACGAUUUACUAAACUGCCAUUGGUCGUCUCGCCUGGGGUGACUCGUUUGUUGACUCACCUGCUCACGCGGCGAAUGGCCCUGGACCGAGUAUGUCUGUUUCAUAUCAUUGUCACACUAACUUCGUCAGUGUGUCGCACAUUUCACAUGCAAAGCCAAAGCAUGUGGUAAUGUUUUGCAACUUGGUAAAUUCCAGUCGUACUCAUAAACCAUCACACAAUUAGAUUAUAAUUAUUCCUAAAAUAUCCAUGCAACUCUGAUCACUUUCUUUAACCGCUCUUACAACUGGACUUAGUUUAAUAGCAAAAAUCUGAUAAGAAAAUGACAGGAGUUCAUAAAUCCAUUUUCCAGAAGAUUUAGGGAACAUUACAAAGAUGAUAUUUUUAAAGGCAUUGCAAGCAUGCGGGUACUUGAUAAGUAGGAAGAAAGAAAACCAACUUUUGACUAGAAAGGAAAAGGAGAUUUCAUCAUGUGAUGAUGUACAAAGGAGAUCUGCCAGUACAAUCCCACACGCUUUUAGGCUUCUAACUUUGCAAGGAUAAGCCCAACUCCAGAGAAAGAUCUUCACCACCUAACCGAUUGGUAUACCUUUCUUAGAUUUAUACACAUGGGCAUGCCUGGUAUCGAGAUUUGGCAUAAGGGGAAAAAGGGUUAUCGUUUGACCCCUGAAACCUGCCACAUUGCAGAAUGAACCAGAGAUCACUAGCUUUUUCUCUCCAUUGUAUCUGUUUGUUGGGUUAAAAAAACCAAGGUCUAGAACCUCUGUUAUAGCCAAGAACUUUGGGAACAAGAGAUUCAUGGCACAAACCAUCUUGGAAAGGAGAUGCAGGAGUUAACAGAAACUAUGUGUACCAUCAAAUUAUCGGAAGCAACUUUGUACACUAUGAAACAUUGAAGAAACAUCUGAUGAAUACAUUCAAUGAAUGAAUAACAGUCAUGGAUUUGGGAUAGCACAACAUUAGGGAAUUCCUUUUAAACCGUCCCCUUCUGAUGUUACAUGGAGAGUAAGAGAAUUUUGGAACUUCUAGCCCAUGCCCUGGUGCCAAUGGGUUAAUUGUACGUAAGUCUGUAUACAUGUGUGACAAAUCUUCCAAUUAUGUUUUUGAUAGGAAGGGGUCCCCUGUUGAUCAAAGAAGGGCAAAGUUAGUUUUCUCAAAUAUCAAGUUAAUAGAGCUUGUAGAGGAAGCAUUUGAUUAUGGGUAAAAAGGAUAUUGUACAUCACAGGCAGUUUUUUAAGGGAAAUAAGGCCCCUCUGUUAGGGGAAUUUUCCAUGGAUGAUCAAAUGAGAUGAGUCGUUCAAAAAAAUGAUGAAUUGUGGGAGGUGAGAAUACUAACCAUUCAUGAGAGUCAGAGCUGUUAUUGCGGUUGUCACCCAACACAAAAACAUGAUCUUUAGGAACAUACUGCAAACACAAAGCAAGGUGAAAUUUUGCAUAAAGCAGCAACAGUUCUGGAUUGCAGCCUCCAAGAGAGAGUUGAGAAGAAUGGAGGGAGCAGACCGAGCAUAUGGUGUACCGUCUGAGGCUCAUGAUGAUCCCAAAUGCAAACAAAUGGGAAUCGUGAAGCUUUCAGAUGUCAACAACAUGGAGUCAGCCAGGCUUCUUCAUGUCCACACCCUUUAUACCUUAUCCAGUGACAAGGUGAACAGAUUGCAUGGAGAAUUUAACUGGCUUUUUACAAAUCAUUUGCCCUUGGCAGUUCGAACCCCGUAAUGUUGUUCAAGAACACACUUUGCUGGCACAAUAGUGUAGUCCAAUUGAAAUAUAAAAAGGGACAGAUGGGGAGCUCACGGUUAAGUCCAAUAUGUAAUUUGGCUGCUCUAAGAUAAAAUCUUCAGUCUGGACAUCCCCAUUGACAUAAAGGGACCCAUCCCGAACCUGUACAAAACCAGAAGAAAACAAUUUAUGGAAAGCACCUCCAAUUGUUACAGGUCCCAUAGAUACAUUGGAUUGUUAUGUAGUACAAAGUUCAAUUCUCAAGUGAACUAGGCUCAAUGCCAUAUCAUUUAUAAAUGGCAGGCUACACAUGAUCUAGUUGACAGGAGGGGGGUUAGCAGAAAUCUCCAAUGAGACAGAUACCGAAAAGAUGAUUGCAAGAGCACCUCUCAUUUGUCAAUUCUAACCACAAGCUCCAUAACACAUAAAGACAGUUAUGUAAAAGAGUUGCACCAGAGAAAAAAAAAAUAACAAUCAAAGUGAAGUAGAGAAAAGGUUUUGUCAGCUUCUUGGGAGAGAGAAAGUAAUAAAUGUAAUAAUAAGGACAGGAUUGCAAGUUAAGAAACCAUCAUACCUCAACCAAGUCUCCUGCUCUUGCAACAACCCUCUUAAUAAAGAUUUCAUCUUCACUGUGUCCUGGUAGCUGUGGACAACCAAGAACAUAACAAAUUUCAAUGAAAGACUUGAGUGGAGUGAAGUGCAGAUAUGCAGUCAAGUUUUCUGCAAUGUGGACAAACCCGUACUGGAGCUCUGAAAGUUACAAUUUCAUGAAUAGCAGGACGUCUGAAAUAAUAUGACACCUGGAGAGGUUGGAAGAAAGCAUCCUUAGUGUUAAGGAACCAAAUGGCAAUAACCAUGACAAUUAUCACAAGCAUGAUCUUAAAAUUAGAAGCGCAUAAUCUAAUACAAGAUACUACCAAUCAAUUUUUAAUGCCAAUACACUUAGAGAGCUGGCAGCACAACCAUUGGCAACCAGUAUAUGUUCUGAAUUUCAAAGUUCACAAACCUCCAGAUAGAGCAAACAGCUGAAAAAUCCAUCUUCCAGCGGCUUUCUGAGAAAACUGAAUAUUGAUUGAUAUCUAGACUGAUUAAGAACAUAAAAUUUUUUGAAGUGGCCCAUGCUUGUGUAAUUCACAAGUCAUGCUUCUAGAUCAAAUGGCAGUGCCUGUAAAUUUCUUCUCAGACUACUGGGAUGCUUCCAAGAAGUCAGAUGUUUUAAUAUUUACCACCAGUAUUUCAGAAUUCAGAUAUUUGUCCAAUUUCUAAUAGAAGGACACAUCCAUUGAAGUAAUAACAGUAGUUCCUCUUGCACUUUUCUUCCACAUUAUUUAUUCUUGUUAUUCUUAAACUUAGCUGUCAUAAAUUCAUAAUCCAACAUUUCCUUCUUUCCCAGGUUGGUUCUUUCAGAACUUGUGGAGAAGAAGUAUGGUGUAGGUUUUUAGCUCAUGUAGGUUUUUAAGAAAAUAAGUUCUAAACCAGUUUUCUGAAAAUAUAAUAAUAAUGAUAUAGAGGGGCACAAAAGCACAAGUUGUUGUGACCCCAAAGGUGAAAAAAUGAAUACAACACCAAAUGGAAAGAAGAUGCUCAAAAAAGAUCAAUAUACUAAAUUAAACAGGAUUGAGGGAGGGGUAGAGGAGGAGAGUGAGGGAGUAAAAAAGAAUAUAAUGAUAUAGUGGAGGGCAAAAAGCAUGAGAAGUUGGAACAACAAAGGCAAGAGAAUGAACAAAAAUAGAGGACAAAAUAAUAAAAAAUAUACCAAAGAGAAAAAAUAAAUAAAUUGAGAGGGAGGAAGGAUGGGUUGGGGAGGAGGAAGAGAGAGAGAGAGAGAGAGAGAGAGAUGGAAAAGUGGAAAUAAUAGACCGUUUGAUAAAAAGAACCGAAAGAGCAACAUCUUUAGAAAUGGCUCAAUAGUCACUCUCCACAAGUUCAUCAAACAUAUAUAUAUUGUCUUCACUCAAGCCACUUCUAAGUAUUCCCACAAGGGAAAACAGUUUGAUAAGUAUCUACAGGACUACAAAUCAAACACAGAACAGAUCGCUAGAAAAUGCAGCCUCAUGAUUUGUAGCCAUAUUCCAGAGACAUGAGAAAAUGAGGGAAAUUAUUAACUUCCUAUUUGCAGAGGCAUCCAAGAGCAACAAUCAGUUGGAUUGAUUUUAUCCCCUCACAAAAUCAUCAAUGAUGUGGCACAGACUUCAACAAUCAGCGGUCUAACUUGCCCAAUAACUUCAUUUCUAUUAUGUAAUUGCAAAAACAGAACAACUAAAACCAUUUAAUGAUUUCCAACUUGAAAGAGAGUGCACUAAAAUAUGAAAGAGAAUAAUGAGAGUAAUUUUUUUCCCUUUUUAGUCAAAAUAUCAAUUCCAAUAGGAUAGUAAUGGGUUAAGUCUCACGAAUAACAAUUUAAUUUGUACAAACUAGCUGUACAAGUUGCCAAAUAACUCAUCAAUGACAUAAUGAUGAAGAAAAUAUAAUUAGAACAAUUGACUCCCAGAAGAUAUAUGGAAACUAAUGACUCAAACAAUGAUGAAGGAGAAGAGAAGACAUCAUAAAUUUACCAGCUCCAGAAGGAAGUGCUUACAGGUCCUUACAGGUCCUUCUAGUCACUUCUUUUUCCAGGUAUGUGUAAGUUUGUUAGAAAGAAAGGAGCAAAAGUAGAAUGCCCACAAGUCGGUGCAGUCAUUUCCUUUUUGUCGUAUGCACAUGUUCUCUAGAGUGAGGGAGAGAGAUAGAGAUCUCACAGCUUAGGGUAUUCUCUUACAACUUACAAGGAAAUAAGUCCAUUCACAUGCCAGCCUUAAGGGUCAUUUAGUUUAGAAUAUGGGAGUUUUAACUCCCAAAGAAAGGAACUUGUUCCAAUAAAAGACGAUAAAAGAAACAAAUGAAAUAUAUCCAAAAUCACAAGAGUAUGUUGAAACAAAAAUCUAAGUGAUUGAAAAUAAAAAGUUGAGGUUGGGCAAAACUGAAAAAGAAAUGCACAAGCAUCAUUCCUUGUCCCCUUGAACCACACGUGAUACAUACUAGAUAUCACUCUCAGAAGUUAAGCAAACAGGUUUCACUCUCCAUGACAGAAACAUACAAUGAUUUGGAGUGAUUUCAUGCUAUAAUCCACUUGGAAGACAUAAGCACAGAUAACACAUCAAUUUCCAAAUCUGUCAAGUUAUGGCAAAAGUUCAAAGCCAAGGAUAGAGGAUGAUUAAAGGUCAAGAAUUGAAGAAAUAGGGGAGUCCAUAGACUUCGAAAUCAGAAAGAGAUAUAGACACUGAGUUGGAAGCCUUUGAUUAGCCACCUCACAUUUCCCAGAAAUGUGAAAAACUUCUACGACUAGAUACCCACCCACAAGAAAAGAUGUGAAAAACUCAAAGAUAUUUAUAAGAAAAAAACUAAUCAACAAUAAAUGAAAUCAAGAAUCCCAAUAAAAAUUUGUAAUUCAAUAUGAAGACUACAGAAAUCUAAUCACCAUUUAAUGGGUAUGUAGACUUCAUGAUUGCAAUCAUUAUAUGAUUAAACUACAAGUCAAACAAGUUACUGGUUUAGCAAUUUGGUAAAUCAAUGAAAACUUUUCAUCAAAUUUAUAAAGCUAAACGUAUGAUCUUCAAUACUAUUGCAUGCCUAAGUCCUUCCAAGAACACAACCAAUCAUGAACCCAAUUAACCUUUUUUUGGAAAAAAAACUACUUGCAACAUCAUUGACACACCAUAACAUGAACUCAGAUCAGAAAAAACAAAUGCUUAACUUUUACCUUUUCCACAACGAUUUCAUCACCGAAAAGAAGAGUAGGGUGCAUAGACAUGGACACUACAAAUCCAAUUUCUAUAUACCUUGACUUUAAAGCCAGUUUCAUCAAAAAUCUCAAAAAAUAAUUAGUCCAUAGCAAGAACUUCCAACUCUUGGACAGCACUCAUCAUGGGCAAGAAAGCAUGAUUGAAUGCAGGUAUGAACUAACUGCAGAGAUUGGAGAAGAAUCAAGAGAAAAGGAACAACAACAAUAAGGAAAAUUGAAAUGCUUGGUUUUGACUUCCAAGGGAUAAAAUGGUUUGAAGCACUGAUAGAAUUCAAAUACGAUGAAAAGAUCAGAUAAAGAGAGAGUGAGGUUAUGAGUGUUGAUGAAAUACACUAUUUUAUUUCAAUAGCAGCCGGGUGCUGAAUGAGAAGAAAGGUUGAAUGGCGAGUCUUGAGAAGUGCACAGAAGGAGGCCAGGACAAACAACAACAGGAAGAAGAACUACUACAGGCACAAUAUAUAGAGCUGUUUUGGGCCAACAUAAUUUUAGACUCCAUUUGGAUUGUGUAAAUUGCGAGGCAAGGAAUGAGAAAAAGGACAAUGUUAAGGAUGAGAAAAAUAAAAAAUAAGUCUUAAGCUUAAAUUCUUUCACCAACUUCUCCAGUUUUAUUCACCAUAUCAAAUUAAGAAUUUAAACAUGCAUAGAUUUUCAUAUGAUAUCAUUAUAUUUCAAUUUCUUCCCCAUUUUAUAUGGCAAAACAAACAAAAUUUAAAAUCCCUUCCUCUUUCCCUUAGUACUCCCUUGGAUCUAGAUUUGGCUGUUCUGGUGAAGGGGAAACCGGGUAUUCGUUGAGCAGGACUUUCUCAGUGAUCAUGGAGUUCGUUCAUGAGAAAACAAUUAUUCAAAAAAAAAUCCAAAGAUAAUUAGAAUUCAACACAAGGACUCCAAAAAUGUUCCCGUAUCCCUAUUUGAAGAUAACAUAAAAAAAAUAAAAAAAAUAAAAAAAAAACCACACCAAUAAGAACUAAUUCCUCGUCUCCGUGACUGCAAUCAAUCAUCUACCAAAAGUCAACCAGAGUUGGGAGGUCUCGAUUUCGAUGAAUCAAUGCAAAAAUCGUCAUCAAAAGUUUAAACCUAAAACUAUGGCAUUCACCUAGGCAUUUUGAAGAACACAUGGCAAUCACAAAUCCAAUUCACCAUAUACUUAAAAGAUCAAAAGACCACAUGAAACACCAAUAACGCUAACCAAAUACAUACCCUUUCCAUGAGGACUCGAUCUUGGACAUGAAGAGUGGGGUACAUAGAGGAGGAACGUAUGAAGCUAAUUUCCGUAAACGUUGACCACAGAAGCACCACCACUAAGCAUCUCAAAAGCCCAUCGAACCCAGGCCACCGAAGGAACUCCCAACUUUGACACGGCAUCCACUGUAGCCACGAGUGCAUGAACAGGAGCUGGUACAAGACAGAGGGUCUCAAGAAACUCAUUUUAAACUCGGAAAUCGGAGGGUUAGCAGUCGACUACGACGGAAGCGGUGAUCGUAUAAAGCUCCCAAUUUAGCGGGAGAGUGGAAGACAGUGGUAACAAAACUACGCUGUUUCAGUCCGAUGAUCAGAAGUUUGAACAACCGAUCAUCGUGAAAAUCACCGUCAGAAGAAGACGAAUGCUGUCGAACACACUGGAAUAGAGAGGGGAAGACAAGGAUCAACACCAGAUUAACCAAAUCAGCAACAGAAACAACAACCACAGGCAUAAUAUAUAGAGAGUUUUGGGGGUUUAUGAGAGGUUUUGAAUUUCGAGGAUAUGGGGAUUGCCAUGGUGGUCGUGGUUCAACAUCGAGAUUGUUAGUGAACAACAGCACGAAAAAAUGGGGUAAUGGGGAUUUGUUGACUAGGGUGUUUCUUGCUGGCUAAGUUUCUACUUUCGGAGGAUUUUGUCUGAAAGGCUGCUGACGUUGACUCACCCUCGUCACCUGGCUGACACCAUUGGUAGAGCCGUAGAGGCGCACAUUGGGCCAGACCCGGCCCAACUAGUCUUUGGGCUGCUAUGUGUUGAUGGUCCAUUUGGGAAUCCAUUUCUCAUUUUUUGUGAUUACUUCUUAGUUAUCUAUCCACUAAUUUAGUUCAAACAUCAGGGGAAAUGAAUAAAAUUAACUCAAUAUAUAAUUAAAAAAAUAUGUUUUAUUUUAAAAUUUUGGGAUGGUGUCGAGUUUAAUCAUCUCGCCUUUCCAUCAUAUUAACAUAAAUUUUUAUUUUGGCUUAGAACUAAGUACAAAUAUCACAAAAUUAAUUACAAUUUUUUUCGAUCAUCAUAUGAAAAAAAUUAUCAUUAUCAUUAUAAUGUUAAAAGUAUGGAUUCAUACAUACCAAUUAAUAUUUAAGAAGAAUCAUCUCAGCCUUUUUCUCAUUAUUAAGAAAAAUAUGCAUUUUCAACCUUCGAAAUUUGUAAAGUUAUUUGAUUAAUUUUUUUAUUCAUAGUGAAAAACAUAAUUUCCUUAGGUUGAAAAAUUUUAUUCAAAGGAUUCCUCGAUUGAUAGAAAAUUUAAACUAAAUUUUGAUGGAUUGACAUUAGAAAAAUAAAAAUGCAUCAAGAUAGAUGAUUAGAGGUUGUAAUUAGGUCAAUAAUUGUAUAUAUCUACCUCAAUUAAGUUUUUUUUUUAAAUAAAAAUAAUUCUUGAUGAACUAACCAAAAUACUAUUGAAGUUAACAUUAUAUAGAAUUAUACUACUAGACAUCCUUAAUUGUAAUAAAAACUAUACUUUCAAACAUUUCUAAGAGCGUUCAAAAUAAUAAUUUCAAAUAUGUUUUUAGUAUCCAACAUCGCAAGUUUGGAUGAAAUUAUUUUUUUUCUUUAAUUUAUUUUUCACUUUUUCAAAAUUAACUUUUAAAACACUUCUAAACUAUUCAUAACCAGGAUUUUUAAUUAUCUUUAUAAUAAUUUUUUUUUUGUCAAGAUUCAUAUAAAUCACAAGUCCUAAAAUAUAUUGAUGUGGUCCAAACAUUUAAAAAAAAUGUUGGAAUUAGUUUUAAAUGUAUUUUAAGUACUUUUUUGUUCAUUGACAAUUUUUUGAAGGAAAAAUUUUUGUUUUAAGUUAUAUUUGAUUUUUGGAAAAAUUGAGGGAAAAUAUGAAGAAAAUAAAAUAAAGUGAAAAAUUAAAAUGAAAUAAAAAAUAAAUUUAAAAUCAAUAAAUUAUUUUUAAAAGUUAUUUUAAAUUCACUUCACUUUGUGAAACCAAGGUUUGGUUAAUCUCGAUUUUGAUGAUAACAAAAAAAAGUUUAGAACUAAUGAUUAUGUUUCAAAUGUGAUUAAGAAAGACGAUUUCGAAAGUGGCAAUCACAAAGACAAAUCAAGUCAAAGAGAAAUCACGAAGAAGAAGAUCACCUCAAAGAAAAGUGUUUUUCAAUACCCAAACUUCAUAAGAUCUCUUUAUAAGGUUGUUGGUGCACUAGGAUUUCCAUGCAUUACAUUCUUUACUUAUACACCAAAAUCAUCCAAAAGUUAUUUUAUUUUAAAUAUUUUUAAAAUUGGAUGAUUUCAUAUUUUUAACUAAAACCUUGUGUCAAGUGUUUUUUCAAACUUGUUUAAAAGGUUUUAAGUUGAAAAAGUUUGUUGUUAAGCCAAAAACGAUUCAAUCAGUUGAACUGGAUGAAGAAUCGGUCGACCGUCAGCUCAACCGGUCGAGGUUCGGGUCGACCCCUAGCUCAACUGGUCAAGGGUGCAAGAAAACUUUCUCUUUAUUUCAGAACGGUUGUUCAACCGAUCAAGGUUGAACCUCAACUGGUUGAGGUCCGGUCGAGGUCCAACGGUCCAACGGUCGCCUACCAAGCAUUAAAUGCUAACGACUAGUCAAUCGUUCAACCCCUAGCUCGACCGAUCGAACCCCCAAUGGCUAGUUUGGUUUUUUUUUUUCUUCUAUAAAAAUGCUCUAAUCUUCAUUGUUUGAAUAACUUAAUUUUCCCAAACAUUUCUUGAAUAUAAUUGAGCCUUGGAAAAGUGUUUUGAGUGCACCAUUGUUCUAAAACUUGCAUAUCUUUAGUGCACCGUUCAAUCAUAAUUUUCUUGUAUCAUUUGAACUUAAAGUUUUUGUACUAGGAUUUUGUGAGAUCAAUUAUUUAUAUAUCUUUGAGAGGAAGAUUCUCGAGUGUGGGGUAUCACUUAAGGGGUUAUUCAAGAGUGAGAUAUCUCUUGAGGUUUGUAAAGGGUGCUUGGAGCCAAAAGUCCAAGAGAGUGGAUUGGAACCAUAAUCCAAUUGUAUUACUUGAAGGUUUGAAUUGGAAGCCUUGAAUUAGUGGAACCUCAAGCUUGAGAUUGAAGCUAGAGGAAAGUGGAUGUAAGCCGGGUUGCGCCGAACCACUAUAAAAUCUUGUGUUUGCAUUCUCUCUUCCCUACUCUUUUACUUUAUAUGCAAUUGUUUUUAUAUUGUUUUGUUUAUAUACUUGCAUAUAAUUGUCUCUUGCAUUCACAUUGUUUAUUUAUUUUUAUUUUUUAAAAAGACUAUCACCCUAUUUACCCCCCCUUUUAAGGUGAUUAUCAUAGAUUGAAUUAGCCUAAUUUUUUUAACAAUUGGUAUCAAAGCUAGGUUUCUUGUUUAAGACUUAAUCGUCUAAGAAGUAAUGGCUAAUCUAUCAAGUUCAUCUCACAUUGAAAGUUUUUCAACCACCCGACCUCCACUUUUCACGAGAACCAAUUAUUCCUAUUGGAAAACUAAAAUGACUAGGUUUUUCCAAUCUACUAAUCUUGAUUUAUGGGAUGCCAUUGAAGAUGAUCCCCACAUUCCUUCAAUAACUUGGUAUAUCUUUGAGAUAAAGAUUCUUAAGUGUGGGAUAUUACUUGAAGGGUUAUUCAAAAGUGAGAUAUCUCUUGAAGUUUGUAAAGGGUGCUUGGAGCCAAAAGUCCAAGAUGGUGGAUUGGAAAGUUUAAUUUUUUUUUUUUUUAAAAAAAAAAAACCAUCACCCUAUUCACCUCCCUUUAGGGUAAUUACCAUAAGUUGGAUUAGUUUAAUUUUUCUAACACACUUUUUUUUUUUAAUGUAAAGAUUAAAUAAUUUUAAAUUAUAUAAAUUUUAAUUAAUUUUAAUUAUAUUGAUUUUUUACCUACUUUUUCAAAGUGAAAUAAAACAUUAGAAAAUUAUUUUUCUUAACUUUUUCUUUUAUUUUCUUAGUAUUUUAUUGGAACCAAAUCUAACUUUAAAAAUUAUUUUUCAAAAAAUAAAAAAAUAAAAAAAGAUCAGUGUUUGAAAAGAAAAUUUUAUUUUUAUUUCUAGAACCAAAUUUAUUUAUUCAUUUUUUUUUCACUUUCUUUUCUCUUGGGUGCUUACAAAAUAGUUGCAUCCUCCGUUAGAGAAGAAUAAUGGGCAAAAAAUUAAUUUUGUUGUAAAAUAAGGACAAAUAUAAUGCAAAUCAAAGUAGUAGAGAUAAAAUAUAUCUUACUUUGAUAUAUAAUAUGGAAGAAAGAAUCAAAGAAGAUAAUUGAGAAAGUGAAAGAAAGAGAGAGAUAGAGAAUGAGAAGAAGAACUUUCUUCUUUUUCUCGAGUUGCUCUUACAUGGGGGGGGGGAUGGGGGGGGGGGGGGGUAAGAAGCCUUUUAUAGGCUUCAUAAUAUGAACUCCCAUUACUCAUCUUAAAGAUGAGUAAAUGGAGUUCAUAAUGACCAUCAAUGUGGUCAUUCAUUACUCUUCAUUUACAACACUCUCCCUUGGAUGACCACCAUAUUAAAAGAAUAUGCAUCAUUAAAACCUUGCUAGUAAAAGACCCUAUAGGAAAAACCUAGCGAAAGAAAAAGAGUACAAUAUUCUUUUCUUGGUAUAUUAGGACUACCUCGUUAAAAACCUUGCCAGUAAAACCAGUAAGACAAAACCUGGACGAAGGAAAAAAGAGUACAGUACACUAACACCCUUUUACAAGCAUACUCUCCCUCAUGUCGAUAUCCUUGAGUUGACGCAUUUCAAUCUUGUGUAUUAACUUCUUGAAUGUUGAGGUUGGCAAUGAUUUUGUAAAUAAAUCUGCUAGAUUAUCACUUGAGCGUAUUUGUUGCACAUCAAUUUCACCACUCUUCUGGAGUUCAUGUAUAUAAAAGAAUUUUGGUGAAAUGUGUUUAGUUCUAUCUCCUUUAAUAUAACCCCUUGUUAUUUGUGCAAUGCAUGCAACAUUAUUUUCAAAUAAUGUUGUCAGGUCACCUUUGAUAGAGGAGAGUCCACAUGAUUCCCAUUAUGCUGGAUCAUAGAUCUUAGCCAUAUACAUUCACGACUUGCUUCAUGAAUUGCCAGUAUUUCUGAAUGAUUUGAUGAUGUGGCUACCAUUGUUUGUUUGACAGAUCUCCAUGAAAUAGCAGUACCAUUGCAAUUAAACACAUACCCUGUUUGUGACCUGCCUUUAUGUGGAUCUGAAAGAUAUCCCGCAUCUGCAUAUCCAAGCAAUUGUUGCUUUGAUUCCCUUGAGUAAAAUAAACUCAUAUCAGUAGUUCCGCGAAGAUAACGCAAUAUAUGUUUGAUACCAUUCCAAUGUCUUCGAGUUGGAGCAGAACUGUAUCUUGCUAAUAAAUUGACAGAAAAAGCAAUGUCUAGACGUGUACAAUUGGCAAGAUAUAUAAGUGCACCAAUAGCACUAAGAUAUGGUACUUCAAGACCAAGUAACUCUUCAUCCUUUUCGCAAAGACGAAAUGGGUCCUUUUUCACAUCAAGUGAUCGAACAACCAUUGGAGAACUUAAAGGAUGCGCUUUAUCCAUAUAAAAAUGCUUCAAAACUUUCUUAAUGUGUGUUGAUUGAUGUACUAAAACUCCAUUUGGAAAAUACUCGAUCUGCAGGCCGAGACAAAAUUUUGUUUUUCCAAGAUCUUUCAUCUCAAAUUCCUUUUUCAAGUAAUUUGUUGUUCUUGUGAGCUCUUCAAGAGUUCCAACAAGAUUUAAGUCAUCAACAUACAAUGCAAUAAUUGCAAAUCUGGUUUCUGAUUUCUUAAUGAAGAUGCAUGGGCAUAUAGGGUUAUUCACAUAUCCUUCUUUUAGCAAGUAUUCGUUAAGGCGAUUGUACCACAUGUGUUGCAUCAGGCAAUUUAAAUCCUUCGAGGAUUUUCAUGUAUAUAUCAUUAUCCAUGGAUCCGUAUAAAUAUGUUGUAAUAACAUCCAUCAGACGCAUAUCCAGUCCUUCUAAGACUGCCAAACUAAUUAAGAAACGAAAUGUGAUUGCGUCCAUGACGGGAGAAUAUGUUUCCUCGUAGUCAAUACCAGGUCUCUGCGAGAAACCUUGUGCUACCAAUCGCGCUUUAUAUCUUAUGAUCUCAUUAUUCUCAUUGCGCUUUCGUACAAAUACUCAUUUGUACCCAACAGGCUUUACAUCUUCAGGUGUUUGGACUACAAGUCCAAAAACUUCUCGUUUUGUUAAUGAGUUUAAUUCUGCCUGUAUAGCUUCUUUCCAUUUUGGCCAAUCAUUUCUAUGUCGACAUUCUUCCACAUUUCGUGGUUCAGGAUUUUCAUUAUUUCUUAUGAUAUCAGAGGCCACUUGGAAAGCAAAAAUAUUGUUAAUAACAAUAUUAUUUCGAUCCCAUUUUUCUCCCAUUUGUACAUAACUUACUGAGAUCUCACAAUUUUUAGGUACCUGUGCCUCUUCAAGGGCUUCUUGUUCAAUAUGUGCCUCUUCAGGGGUUUUCUACAUUAUUUGUGCCUCUUCUAGGGCUAUAGAUUUAUCAAUUUUAAACUGAUCAAUCAUUUUGAUGGUCUCUUCUAGAGUGCCAAAUUUUUCUUGGGUUCUCCUCUUCCUGGGAGUUACAUCCUUUGAGCCGACAAGUCUACCACGCUUAAGACGUAUCUUAGAUUCAUUUGUUAAUUGUCUUACAGGGACAUCAAUCCGUGUUGGAGUAUUUGCAACCGGGAUAUGUGACUUUGUCACUUUCUUUGUAUCAAUGAAUGCAUCUGGUAAUUAAUUUGCAAGAUUUUGCAAAUGAAUGAUCCUUUGAACUUCUAAUUCACAUUGAUUUGUAUGAGGAUCAAUAUGGGUCAUAGUAGAUGUCUUUCAACUAAUUUCUCGUCGUUCUUCAGGAAUCGACUUUUCUCUCCCUAAUGAUGGGAAAACACUCUCAUUAAAUUGACAAUCCGCAAAGCGGGCUGUAAAAACAUCGCCUGUCAAAGGUUCAAGAUAUCUUAUGAUAGAUGGAGAAUCAAAACCUACAUAAACCCCAAGUCUUCGUUGGGGACCCAUUUUAGUGCGUUGUGUAGGUGCAAUUGGUACAUAUACUGCACAACCAAAGAUUCGUAAGUGAGAGAUAUUUGGUUGUUUUCCAAGCACAAGUUGUGAAUGGGAGUAUUCAUGGUAAGUUGUAGAUCGAAUACGGACUAAAGCUGCAGCAUGCAUAAUAGCAUGUCCCCAAGCGGAAGUAGGUAAUUUGGUUUUCAUUAGUAAUGGUCGAGCUAUUAAUUGGAGACGUUUGAUGAAGGAUUCUGCUAAACCAUUCUGGGUAUAAGUAUGAGCAACAGGAUGCUCAAUAUUUAUCCCUACUGACAUGCAAUAGUCAAUGAAUGUUUGAGAAGUAAAUUCGUCAGCAUUAUCAAGACGUAUUGUCUUAAUUGGAUAAUUUGGAAAUUGUGCUCGUAAUCUGAUUAUUUGUGCAAGGAGUCUAGCAAAGGCUACAUUACGUGUAGAAAGGAGACAAACAUGUGACCACUUAGUAGAAGCAUCUAUUAAGAUCAUAAACUAACGGAAUGGUCCACAUGGUAGAUGGAUAGGCCCACAUAUGUCCUCAUGUAUUCUUUCUAAAAAGAUUGGUGACUCAGAUAUGACUUUAGUAAAAGAUGGUUUGAUUAUCAAUUUACCUUGUGAGCAGGCAGCACAUGAGUAUUCAUUGGGCGAAAGAAUCUUCUGGUUCUUUAGUGGAUGCCCAUGUGAGUGUUCGAUUAUUCGACUCAUCAUUGAAGACCCUGGGUGACCUAGCCUGUCAUGCCAAAGGACAAAAACUUUUGGGUCGUUGAACGUCUGGUUCAUGACAACAUAUGAUUCAAUAGGCUUUAUAGUUGUAUGAUACAACCCAGAGGAGAAAGUCGGGAGUUUUUCCAUUAUAAGUUUCUCGCCAGAUAUAAUGGAAGUAAUGUAAAGAUAUUCUACAUUAUUUUCAUUCAUAGUUUCAAUAUGAUAUCCAUUUCUGCGGAUAUCUUUAAAACUGAGCAAAUUUCUUCUGGAUUUGCUAGAAUAUAACGCGUCAUUUAUAUGGAAUCUAGUUCCAUUUGGCAACGUUAUGUUUGCUCUUUCAGAGCCUUCAACUAAGUUUGUAGUACCAGAUAUGAUACUUACAUUAGCUUUUAUUAAUGUCAAUUUGAGGAAAUAUCUUUUAUCUCGAAGAAUUGUGUGCGUGGUCGCACAGUCUGUGAGACAUACAUCAUCCUCAUUCAUCUUGAGACCAAAUAACACAUGGAUUUCAGAUAUAACAAAAAAACAGGGCAUAAUGUAAAUAACAAAGUAAAUCAAAUGUAAAUAUAAGACAUAAUAAUAUAUUAUUUUAUAUAUAAAGUAACAUCAAUCAAUGUUAAUUUUUUCAUCAUUUAUCAAAUGGUCUGUUUUUUCAUUGGGACCUCCAAAGAAAUCAAUGUCAUAGUAGGUUAGGUCCAAUCCAUCACCAUCGGUAAAGUUCAUCUCUAUCUUUUUUCCUUUAUCUUUUAUUGAUGCUUGGUAAAGGUCGACCAAAUGUUUGGGCGUACGACAGGUACGCGACCAAUGCCAUUUCAUACCACAUCUAUAACAAUUAUUCUCAUGGUUCUUUGGAGGUUUAUUUUGUAAACUCUUCCCAUUUUCUUGUAUUGUCUCAGUAUUGUUCCACUUCUGGUGGUGCAAUGAGGCUUUCAUUUUCUGAGAAUUAUUACUAUAAGAACCAUGGUAUCGGGGAUUUCUUCCACGACCACGACCACGUCCUCAUCCUCGUCCACGUCCACGAGUUUGGGACGAUAUUGCAUUCACUUCAAGGAAUGGUUCAAAUCUAGUUGGACGAGACUGGUGAUUUAUUAUCAAAAGCUCAUUAUUUUGUUCAGCAACAAGAAGACAUGAUAUUAAUUCAGAAUAUUUUGUAAAUCUACGCUCUCGAUAUUGCUGCUGCAGGAGCAUAUUCGAGGCAUGAAACGUAGUAAAAGUUUUCUUUAACAUGUCUUCCUCUGUGAUUUUCUCUCCACACAGCUUUAAUUGAGAGCUGAUUUUGAAAAGUGCAGAGUUGUAUUCACUAAUAGUUUUAAAAUCUUGCAACCUUAGGUGCAUCCAAUCAUAUCGAGCUUUUGGGAGAAUCACAGUUUUCUGGUGGUCAUAUCUUUCCUUCAAAUUACUCCAUAGAGUAAAAGAGUCAUUUACCGUAAGAUACUCAUUUUUUAAACCUUCAUGGAGGUGAUGGCGAAGGAAAAUCAAUGCUUUUGCGUGAUCCUACAGAGAUGUUUGAUUUCCUUGUUUGAUCGUAACUCCAAAAUUCAUUGCAUCAAGAUGUAAUUCAGCAUCAAGGAUCCAAGAUAGAUAGUUCUUUCUCGAAAUGUCAAGUGCCACAAAUUCGAGUUUUGUGAUAUUCGACAUUGUCAAAUAACUUCAUAUAUAUGACAAAACAAUAUUAUUAAAAUCAAUUAUAAUAACUUGAUAGCAUUGGUAUAACUUUGAUUAUAAACAAAAUCAAAUAAUUUGUUUAUAACUUUUAACAAUAUGUAACAAAACAAAUCAACAAUAAUAUAAAUAUGUAAAAUUUUAUUCUAUAUAAAUAACUUCAAGUUUAAGAUACGAGAAUUACUUUCAGAGCAAUUCGUGCUGAUAACGUGUUGUAAAACAAGGACAAAUAUAAUGCAAAUCAAAGUAGUAGAGAUAAAAUAUAUCUUACUUUGAUAUAUGAUAUGGAAGAAGGAAUCAAAUAAGAGAAUUGAGAAAGUGAAAGAAAGAGAGAGAGAGAAUGAGAGGAAGAACUUUCUUCUUUUUCUCGGGAUGCUCUUACAUGGAGGGAUAAGAAGCCUUUUAUAGGUUUCAUAAUAUGAACUCCCAUUACUCAUCUUAAAGAUGAGUAAAUGGAGUUCAUACUGACCAUCAAUGUGGUCAUUCAUUACUCUUCAUUUACAACAAAUUUCCAUUUAUAAAAGUAAAAUUUGAAUUUUAUAUAAAAAGUUGUCCACGUGUAAUAAAAUUUAUCCUAUGGAUAUUAUCAUUUUGAAAUUAUAUUAUUUCUCAAGACCUUUCCAUUUUAAUCAAUUGAAAUUAUAGUACUGCUUGAUACCUUUCCCUUUUAAGAGGAAUUAUGUUAAUUGAAUUAAGUUUUCAAAAGUUACAAACUCAAUAAUUACGAUGCAACUUUGACAGAUUGGUUAGGUGAUGACUAACCCCAACCUAACUCAACCCAAAUUAAGAAAUAAUUAUUCAAACUCAAUCCAUAUUGAUCUUUAAGUUAAAGUACUCGACUAAAUCUCAAUUCAACCUCAUUUUUUUAAACUCGAGUUGAAUUCAAAUUGGUCGAGUUUAACUCGUAUUAAUUGGGUUAGACUCAGAUUGUUUAUAAUUAUCAAUUGUUGAUUUAAGCUUAAAUUUAAAAUUAUAGUUAGUAAGUACGGUUUUAAUUGGUUUAAAAAAAAAAAAUCAAAUUUGUAGCUGUCAGGAUUUUGUGACGUGCAUGCUCAUGUCGAUGAGAAUUGAAAACUAAUUUGGAAGAAAAUAUACUUUGUGAAUUUGGUUUUUAAAAAUAAAUUACUUCUGCUCCAAACUCAAGGUUUGGGCCUGUAACAAUCCAUUGGAUUGGGCUUGGGCAGAGGGAAGAGUGUAGACCAACCAAUUCGAUAUCUGGGCUUUUGUGUCUAAUUCAAUAAAUGGGACAGGUUAGAAAAAUUUAGGAGGUAUACAACAAUGGAUUCCCAAAUCAUCCGGAUAGAAAUAGACAACAGUCACAGCGACAUCACCCAAAGGACACACCCCCAACAAUUUCAGCCAUCCUCCCAUUGACACGUGGCUAAUUUCCAUCAUUCUUGGACCCGCCUUCCCGUGAAACGUCAUCCCUUACACUACAACCUCAUCCAACCUCCAAACUAGUUAACGGCCUCUAAUCAUCACAGCCAUCACAGCUUUGUAACGCUAUACAAUCUCACUCUCCUCUUCUGAUGAUAAUAUCUAGUGGCCCUGCCUGUCGUCCACGAACCACACUAUGGAGACUCCAAGCCCUAGAGAGAUGAACCGCAUAACACUUCUCUUUUUCUUUCUCAGUUUGGUCAUCACACUCUUCUCUGCAGCGGCGGACCAUGACGGCCCCACCACCAGCACCACCAGCAUCAUCUUCACAACGCUGGGGAGAUCCGACUAUGCCUUCGACGUUUUCAGCCUCCCGACUCUGGGGCCUUCUACUAUCGCCGACGAGCUUCGGAUUACCGAUGGUCAGUCCGUGAAUUUCAACGGUCAUUUCCCAUCUUCUCCAAUUAUUUCUCUUCUAGCCAAUCAAACCCUAGUUGAAAGCUCAAGCGUGAAACGCCCAGAUGAGUCUCUGCAAACCAUCUAUGUCACCGAGAGAAAUGGGUCGUCGAAUAUAUAUCUUGACAUAAUCUAUUAUGAUACUCCCACGAACUCUAGGAGAAGAUCUGCACUGGAGACCGCAGUUCGAGUUGAGGUUCCGCUAUUGGGUACUAACACUGAACAGAGCGACGGUCGAAUUUCGAUGAAAGACAGGCCUAGCUUAGUUGGUGAGGACUUGGUUUACGUAUCGACUCACGAGGACUCGGGUGUGCCCAGGAAAAGUUGGGCUGCUGUCUACUCGACUCAUCUUCCGACGGGGUCGACUAGGCGGUUGACACCGUAUGGGGUGGCUGAUUACAGCCCGGCUGUAUCGCCGUCGGGGGUAUGGACAGCGGUGGCUUCUUAUGGAGAGAGAGGCUGGGGUGGGGAAGUUGAAGAGCUCAGCACCGAUAUCUACGUUUUCAGGACUCGUGAUGGGUCUGAGAGGACGAAAGUUGUGGAACACGGUGGUUGGCCGUGUUGGGUCGAUGAUUCUACUCUGUUUUUCCACCGUAGAGGCAGCGAUGGCUGGUGGAGUAUCUACAGAGCGAUUCUUACUGAGUCAGUGGUUAUCGAGCGAGUCACUCCACCUGGUCUCCACGCUUUCACCCCAGCUACCUCGCCAGGCAACAAAAACUUCAUUGCCGUGGCGACGAGAAGGCUCAAUUCAGAUUAUCGCCACAUUGAGUUGUUUGACCUUCUCAGUAACGAGUUUAGGGAAUUAACUCGUCGGAUUUCUCCCCAAACUCACCACUUUAAUCCGUUCAUCUCGCCCGAUUCUACUCGAAUUGGUUACCACAGAUGCAGAGGCGACAGUAACGGAGGGAAAAGCCCUCACCUGCUGCUCGAAAACCUCAAAAGCCCAUUACCUGAAAUCUCUCUGUUUAGAUUUGACGGUUCGUUCCCUUCGUUUUCACCGGGCGGCGACCGGAUCGCUUACGUCGAAUUCCCGGGGGUUUACGUGGUGAACCGGGACGGUUCUGGCCGGCGGGAGGUGUUCUCCGGAAUCGCCUUCUCCACCGCUUGGGACCAUAAACGGAAAGGGGUUGUAUACACUAGUGCAGGUCCCACAUUCGCUACAGAAAGCACAAAAGUGGAUAUAGUGUCUAUCAACGUUGAUGACGUUGACCAGCCUAGCUACAAAAAGUUGACCACCGGCGGUGAGAAUAACGCAUUUCCCUCGCCAUCACCGGACGGGAAAUGGAUCGCGUUCCGGUCAGGCCGGUCUGGCUAUAAGAAUCUGUACAUAAUGGAUGCUGUGGAUGGAGAGAGAGGUGGGAUCCAUCGGUUAACAGAGGGCCCAUGGACGGACACAAUGUGUAAUUGGUCACCGGACGGUGACUGGAUUGUCUUUGCAUCCGACCGGGAGAACCCGGGUGGUGGUGGGUUUGAACUGUACGUGAUUCACCCUAACGGGACCGGCCUCAGGAAGGUGGUUCAUAGCGGUUCAGCUGGGAGGACUAACCACCCAUGGUUCAGCCCUGACGGGAAGAGCAUUGUUUUCACUUCAGACUAUGCCGCAGUAUCAGCUGAGCCCAUCUCCAACGCACAUCACUACCAGCCUUAUGGCGAUAUCUUUGUGGUGAAUUUGGAUGGCUCAGGGCUUCAUCGAUUGACACAUAAUUCAUACGAGGAUGGGACUCCCGCCUGGGCUCCCAAGGUCAUUAGGCCGGUUGAUGUGAAGUUGCAGGUGGACGGGCCACACUGCUCCUUUGAAGAUUGUCACUGGCUCAGCAACACUCCGAAUCAUGGUGUUGAGGCUGCACCCUGGGUCUUGGCCAAGCCUCAGUGUGGUCUACGGGCCUAGAUUGCUUAAUGCUCAAGCAGCUAUAAUAUUGUAUUACUCGGCUUUUGCUAGCGUAUGAACCUCUCUGUAGAUUGCUUAAUGCUUAAUGCUCAAGCAGCUAUAAUAUUGCUAGUGUAUAAACCUCUGUAAGUAUUAUAUGACUCUUUCAGAAGUUGGUGCUAUUAACUUGAUGUUAUAUAUAAAUCCAGUUGUGCAAUUAGUCCAUUUGAAUGAAUGACUUUCCCAUUUGUGAAGAUUGGAGUUUGAAAUUAAAGGGAACAAGGAGAUGAAUGACAUAAAAGAUAAAUCUGUACAGAAGUUGGACAUUGAAAUGAGCUACAAAAGCUAAAUAAGAAAACUCAAUUGUACAAGAUUAUGAUCUAGGGGAGGACACCACCCUAACGUCGGAGUCAAAAUUCCAAAAACAGGUGUUGUUAUCAGAAAGGGGAUUACAGCAGUUGGAACUAGAACAAGCAGCCUACACCAUACACACAGAAGCUAAUCCAACAGAACAUUGGAAAAAUUACGCCAUAGUGCUUAGUUGCUUAGGUUGUGGAAAAGCUCUGAAGGUAUGGAAGGAGGGCAGUACUUCUUCGCCACAAAUUUGUACUGGUGUGCACAAAAGAAGCAUGUCAGUUUUAGGACAUUUGAAUUAUCAACCAAUCUACAGCAAACAGAUUCUAAAAAAAACAGGGCAUGUGAAGAACUCGAAAUCAGUCUGGAAACUGGAACAGAAAUUUUGCUCACCUUGUGCUGACUGUAUUUCUCCCUGAUUGCAGGUAAACUAGAAUUGUGGUUGUUACAGCAUAGGCGAUGAAGAGCCUUAACACAAUCACACAAAUCAGAGGGCUGGUAGAGUGUGUAGUGCCUCAAGGUAGAAUUCUGGACCAAAAUCAAUACCAGAUUGAAAUUAGGAGGUUUCAGAAGAGAAAGCUACAACAUAACUCGGUAGUCCAUAAGGCAUUUGAACAAGCAAAAUCUGCCUAACAUUUCAUCAAACCCUUACCCAAGGUCUCUUUGAAGGGAGAAGAAUAUAGUUGGCCAAGAAAAUUGCUGAAGCCGCUAUAAGUGAUGGAGCAUAACAGAGCAUACUGUACUCCAGAAGGGAUAGCUCGGCUAUAUAGUUCGCCAAGCACUCGAGCUGCAACGAUGGAACCUAUGGAAAGAACAGAUGAAGUCAUCAAACCAUCACAGAGAACCAUAGCUUUUCAGUGGGUUAACAAAUUCCUAGCACAAAAAAGCAUCAUCGGUCCCAUUACACCAAGAGGAAUGUUGGGCUUGAUAAAGAACAAAAUGACUAAUGGAAGUUAUUCUUAUGACAAGAUAUUAAGGAAUUAUACUAGCUGUUAUUUGCUUUUGUUUGUGAUUCUUAAGAUUGUGGACUGUGCUCCAGUGAUUGGAAAAUAACAUGAUUUGAAGUUGUGCAUGUAAUGAAGAAAGAUAUAAAUCUGAAUUACUAGAUGUUACAGUCCAAGACAGAUACCUCGUUCAUUCCUUGAGCAGCUCGAACAAAUCGCCUAUUGUUUUGUCAACGAAGCACAAAUCAACACUUAAAUCAGCAUAUGUGAGAUAACCAUUGUAUUUUUGACAUCAAUAGGGAUAGACAACCUGAAUAUUACCUCAAAAAACAUUUAGCUGUUGGAGCUGUCAUUUCAAAUUUUAAGUAAUUUAGGACAGAAGAUUCCAUUUGCAAAACCUGCAAGAGUCUAAGUUGCUCAGUUUUAUUGUCAAGGAAGAGAUUAAAAAAACAACUAGGAAACUGUUUCAUGUUUUUGCAAAUUGCAAGUAAAGAAGAUCAACUACAAUUCAAAUGAACAUUUAAAUGAAUCUACUAUUUACACAAAGAGGAGAACCCAAACCUCCUCCUUGAAAUAGGUGUUAUCAGUUAUGUAACAGAAUUCUUCCACCUGGGGUGCACAAAUCUCUUCAUACUUGCUGCCAAUUUUAUCAUGUUUCUUGUUAACAUCCAUAUUAUUUCCUUAAAACAGAAGGGAGAUUGAAAGCAAGAGGGAACAAAUACAGGAAAAAAGAGAGGUAGCAUCUUACGCAGCAAUCAUCAUGCAUGCAACACCAAGCAAUUGUAGCUGUUGCCUGUUCAUCACAUUCCCAGAAAGAUACCGAUCUAUGAAGUUCACUGUCAAGUAUAAUGUAUCAGGCACAAGCCUGUACUCUUCAGCAACCUGCAGUUGCAUUAGAAUUUAUUACACCUCUAGAAAGACUACAAUGAAACAUCUUGGUAAUCAAUGUAAAUCCCCAUUGUACAAUAUUAGAAUUGAUCGAAAUAUAAGAUGGAUACCAUAUAAUUACUUAAAUAUAAUCUACCUCCACAAGCCAAUCAAUGAGAAUUGACCUCAUGCUUGCAUUAACGUCUUUCUGAAUUCUCUCCAUGAAGUCUGUGGAAGGCCUCUUCCUUGCCUAGAAAACCCCAGGAAAUGAACAAAUUACAUGAAGAAAAGGCAAAACAAUAAUAAAAAUCAAGACCUAAAAUCAUAUCUUAUCAUGUGAAUAUGUAGCAUUCUAAAAAAUUUUGGACCAUACAAUAAGUAACUCCAUAAGAGGCUUCAUGAAAGAAAGCAAUUUCAGGGAAAAUUCAUGCAAAUCUAAAUGAAUGGAGGGGUUCUACAGAUUACCCUGAACAAAUGUAUUUUUUGAAUGGACUGAACUGACCAAGUUAAGACAGACAGGAAAAUACAUGUCUUAAAGGUAUCAUCCCCAUCAAAACACACAAUGAUCUUUAUAGAAUACAUCUUGUUUCCAGGAACUUCAACAAGAAAGAGCAUUUAUUUAAUAAGAUCAAGUCAGAAACGUAUAGAUUAUCAAUGGAAAAGAUGUUAAACCUCAGAUGCACGCAGGUGCUUGUAGAUGUCACAAGCCAUGGUUGCGCAGAACUGUGGAUCCCCGAAAUUGUCAUCGAUAUCAGCAAUUUUACCAUUUGUUUCUGUCUCCACAUGUAUAUCUUCACUGCAAAUAUUUCCUGUGAACAAAACAAUGGAGACCCAGUGAGAAAAUCUUCACAUUGAACACAAAAGAAACAACAUAAAUGGACAAGGCAAAAAUGCAACCUUCUGCUUCCACAUGCUCUGAAAUGUAGAGCUUGCUACAUGUCUUCCUCUCAAUAGAAUUAACCGCUAAAUCAUCAACGUCCAUAUAUUCAACUUCUGGGCUCUUGAAAGAAUCACAAGUAGACAUCGUCUCAUCCAUGGAAGCUGAAAUACCAUCGGAUCGAUUCGGUGAAACAUCCAAGCUGCAAGGAUCUGGAAGGGCGGUAACAGUAGAGGCAGUUCCAUCACUUUUGGGAAGAGAUGUGUCCUUACAGGGAAUAACUGCAGUUGGUUUCACAUUCAAGGAAGCAGAUGAUGUAUUUCCAGUGAUGCCUACACUUCGGGAAAUUUUAGAAGAUCCCCUCUUUGCUUUAGAAAUUUUUUCCGCACAUGGUACCUUCAAGAAGACAAAACCCUAGUUAGUCAUUUCACCCCACAUGGUAUUAAACAAAUAUUAGAUUGUGGAUUUGGUAUAGCUAGAGACAAAUAUUAAAAGGUGGAUUUGGGUUUGAAAUUUGAGCCACCCUAUGAAAUGAUAGCGGAGAGGACUGACUUUCACCUGAGAUUUAAAUUCAAACCUUAAAUCCAGAGAUAAUAAUUGACUGAUUUCUUGUCUAAACUAUUUUUUUCUAUAACGACAAUUCUCUCAGGGUGCGAUUUUGUUUCCCAAAUAAAAAGCGGCAUUUGAUCAAAUAGAUUGAAAAUUUGGAAGAAUUGGAAAUAACACAAAAAUUUGAAUGCUUAUAAUGCAUUGUUCUGGUCUCGAAAAAUAAAACGAUCAGGACGAUCCAUAAGAAAAAACCUUCAACCAGGGAAAAAGAAAAGAACGAGAAAAAGUCACAGAAAAAUACAAAAUAACAAAAAAAAAAAAAAACUUAAUUUUUCAUAGUGCCAUAAACAAGAUGAUACCCGAACAUUCACUAAUUCUUGUGUGGCAUCUCAGAAACCAGAGAAUACCAAGAAAAAGAAAACAUCAAAUCAAGCUAUAAUGAUCCUUUUUUUUGGUUUGUGAAUCUUUCCUGUGAAACAAAAAAAACAAAACCAAUAACAGUUUUCCCUUUCUUUCCCACGGUUUUCUUAGCAACCAAACAAAUCCCAACAAUCAAUCACAUCAAGAAUGAAAACCCACCAUAGUCCCGACCGCAGCCGAGCUUUUUAACCCACUCAGAGAAGCAUUCUUUUGGUUGGUAAUGUUACUGAGAGGCGGCCGCUUCUUGGCCAAAUGCGACGGCACCGUCGUAACCUUACCAUGAUUAUCCGACGACGACCGCUUCAUCAAGGACGACGACGACGACGACGAAGAAACUGAGGAACGGCGAUUCUGGGUCGACAUAGCUGAAGAGCCCCUCUCUCUAUCUGGUUCAAAAUGAACAAAGCAAACCAGAUAAAGGAGAAAAAGAAGGGGAUUCAAAUCUUUGAAUCUUUUGAAGCAACUAGGGUUUAAGUCAUGAAUUUUUGAAAAUGUUUUUCAAGAUUCUUACAGGGAUGAUAGUAAAGAAGGGGAAAGGAUUUAGAGAGAGACGGUGCUGCGUGUGAUUUAACGUACUACUUUAAUGGUACUUUGAGGCGGGGAAAAGCGGUGUUUGAAUUGAAAGACAUCCUGACCGUCCGAUCUGCUCGAUAAUCGUUAGGAGCGUCGCAGAGUGGGGCCCACAGAUCUGUCCCCUUCUAUUUUCUUUUAACUGUAUUCAUCUUUGUGUAAGAAGGGCCAAUAGAACUGCGGAGAGUGAUGGAGCCUGUGGUCAAGGCUGAGGUGGAUUUUCGUUUUCAUCGGUUUGAGGGAGUUUUAGUUGUCGGUUAGAUUUGUGAAGGUGACGGGCUGUGAGGUUAGGGAGGUUGGGGUUUGAAUUUGAAUUUGAAUUUAAACAACCUAACGGUCAGUCGAUGUGGCUUUAGGGAGCAGAAACUGAGCUAGGAGUGAGACCCACAUGAUCCAGUUUCAGAGCUUUUAAGCCACAUAGUCAAAUUUUUUUUUUGGCUUGUUCGAAAUUUAGGGAUUGAAAAUUACAUCAUUUUCUGUAAUGAUUUAAAAUUUCUAUCCCAAUAAGAAAAAACCAGGAGGAAAAGCAAAUAAGAAAUGAAAAAGGAAGAAAAAUAAAUAAUCAAAUUUAAUUUUAGAAAAUUCGUAUCCAUAUUUUAUUAAUGACAAAUUCAAAAUGGUAUAAAAUUUUAAAUUUAUAUCUUUCCCCAGAAGCUUAUUAAUUUUUCUUAAUUCAAUGAACACCCGGCCCAAUAAAUGACAAAAGAGGGAAAAAGGGAACAUGACCCCUUUCCUACGGGUUAGAACAGGGCAAGAAGGAUCACAAGGUUUUUACAAAUAAUUUAAUACAUCUUCCCAUAAGCCAAGAUUACCUGGAAGGAAAGAAUGCUAUCUGACCUUUUUUUUUUUUUUUUGGUAAGUUAUAAAAUUGAUUGAGUGUGUUUUAACAAAAUAUAUUUUUAUUUUCAACGUGAUUCCAAAUUUGAAAAUUUCUUAUUUGAGAAUUAGAUCUCUCUCUUCCUAUUUGUAAUUCAAAUGAAUUAAUUCAACUAUUUAAAGUGCGUAUGGGAGUGAUUCUAAAAAAAUUAAGUGUUAAAAAAAUUAAAAGUGUUUUGUAGAAUUAUCUAAUAGGUUUUUAGUCAUCCUUGAUUCAUUGAAAUUAAAAAUAAAUAAAUAAAUAAAAUUUAAUUAAAAAAUGCAUCAUUGCCAAAUUUACAUAUUACAGGACAGAUAACUCAAUUUAUUUUCCCCAUUUGUUUUCCAUGAAAGAGAAGGGAUCAUUGAAAGGAAUGUUUAUGUACAGUUGAAUAUCAAGAUGCAUUAAAAGAAAUGGUCAUGUACAAGGUUGAAAAUUGGGGUAAACUAAAGAAAUUUAAACAAGAACACAUUACGUACGAUAUGAACCUGGUGGGUUUAUCUUCAACAGAGAAGAGUGAAAUGAAACAGUAGAAGAAGACUAUGCUACUUGAAACUCCAAAAGUAUACACAAAACUAUGGAGUUUAAAAAUUUCAUGUGGGAUGUUGGUUAAAAAAGUAAACACAUCACCAGGAAAGACCACACAGCUGACAGCAGAAACAUCCAAGUCUAUUCAGCCAAGCAUUGCCAUACUUAUCUGACAUCUAGUCGCUUGGGUCUUCAAAAAACUCUGGAGGCACACAAGGGGGGCAAUACUUCUUUGCCACAAAUUUAUACUGGUUCAUAAAAGAAGACCCAAGUUUAGUUCAGGACAUUUGGAUAUCAACAAAAGUUUGCGUUUGUAUCAGUAAAGAGUUCGUGUGCAGUUUCUGAUAUUACUUCUCUAAUGUCGACAGUCAUAAGUUUUUUCAGUUGAAGGUGAGGCAAUAUAAACCUAGAGAAAGUAUGAAACACACACAGAGGGAAAUUUGGCUUACCUUGUGCUGACUGUAUUUCUCCUUAAUUGCGGGUAAACCAGAACCAUGGUUGUUACAGCAAAGAUGAUGUAAUGCCUUAACACAAUCAUGCAAAUGAGAGGGCAGGUAAUGUGUAUAAUGCCCCAACAUAGAAUUCUGUACCAAAACAAAUAGAGGGAUGAGUUAUAAUCCUAUGUCAAGGGAGAUGGUAAACCAAAGCGUCUAAGAAAUUACAAGAUCAGUCUGAUACGAUGUCUGACUUACCCAAGGCUUCUCUGCUGAGAAAAGUAUAAAUCUAGCCAAGAAAGUCGCAGAAGCAGCUAUUAGCGAUGGUGCAUAACAAAGCAUGUUGUACUCUAGGAGUGAUAACUCUGUAAGGUAGCUUGCCAAGCAUUCCAGUUGCAAUGAUGGAUCCUACAAAGCAACAAAUAUGAUCACCAAAAAGUAUCAAGUAUUCAAGAAUCACCAGGCAAAGGACUAAAUAUGGAUAUCCAAGCGCUUCCAUAUUUAAAGACUACAAUAUCAAGUGGAAGUGAGUACUACAAUGGUCAUUAUUCAAGGUUUUAUUUAUACUAACAUAGUGUCAGUUUGAAUUGCAUCCCACUCCCUCUUUCAACUCAAAUAUUAAUCAAGAGCAACAUUUGUUGCUAUUGUUACAUCAUUUACCAGCCAAAUGCUCCAUCAUAAUGAUCAAAAAGCAAAGUUCAUAAAACCUAGUAACCAAUAGAGAAUGACAUAAAACAAAGUACCAUGAUUAAACCAGUUCAAGACAGGUACCUUAUUGUUCCCUUGAGCAGCAUGAAUAAAUUGCCUUAACAUUGUGAAUCAAUCAGAUGUCAAUAACUACACAAACAAACAGCAAUGGAACUCAGAAUAUUCAAUAAGAACCAGAAAGAUAGGCCUUACCUCAAAAAACAUUUAGUUGUUGGGACUGUCAUUUCAAACUUCAAAUAAUUCAAGACUGCAGAUUCCAUUUGCAAAACCUGGAAAAUUAAAUUGCUGAAUGACAACUCAAAUGAGAGCACAAAGGAACAAUUCGAAGAAGCAUCUAGGCAAGCACAAUUCAGCUAAAAGAGAAUAGAUUCAAAACCUCCUCCUUGGAGUACGUGUUAUCAGUUAUGUAACAGAACUCUGCCACCUGGAGCGCACAAAUCUCCUCAUAUUUACUGGCAAUGUUUUCAUUUUCAUGGUCAUUAUCCAUACCCAAUUUCAACGGAUUUGGCAAGAAGAAAACAAAAGGAAAUAAUAAAAUCUUACGCUGCAAUCAUCAUGCAGGCAAUGCCAAGCAAUUGUAACUGCUUCCUAUUCAUAACAUUGCCAGAAAGAUAACGAUCUAUGUAGUUAACAGUCAAAAAUAGUGUAUCUGGUGCAAGCCUGUACUCUUCAGCUACCUGAAGUUGGAAUUAGAAUUAAGACCACUGGUUUCAAGAUAGUAAUAACCACAACUUUACACACAAGAGCAGCUGAUGACAUCGACAAUAAGGAUUUUUAUUAUCCGAGGAAAAGCCCCAGCUAUCAACAUAUGAAGUUGUUGCUAUAAAACAAAACCCGUCCCUGAUGUGAGGAGGGGGGAGAUUCCUUAGAAUAUACCAAUCCACAAAGGAAAUGUGAAAGAAAACUAUUAUAGUUUACCUCCACAAGCCAAUCAAUGAGUAUUGCACGCAUGCUGGGAUUAAUGUCUUUCUGAACCCUUUCCAUGAAGUCAAUGGAAGGCCGUUUCUUUGCCUAAAAUGACCUCAGCAAUGGGAUAGAGAAUGAAGAAAAGUAGGAAAGUCAAAUGAGAUUCCAGACUAGGAAUUCUAGAUAAAAAGAAUAUAACUAUGUAAAACAUAAUUUAGCUAACCGUAUGACAUGCUCAAACAAGUCUGUCUAUACAAAAGAAAAUUAUGAAACUAAAAUUUCCUCAACGCAGUCCUCAUCAGAGAUGGAAAUUGAGUUUAUCUGUGCAGAACUAACAAAGAAUCUGCAACAACUAAUGCCAAAAUUGAUCUGAUGAACUACCAAAGAACCAGCACCCACUAAUGCCAAAAGUCAGCUAAUACUCCUACAAACCAACCAACACACUUAUGAGAGGAUGAUUCCCAUGCAAAGGUUGGUCAUUCAUGUUUGGCUCUAGACUUCUUACAAAAUUUGUAUCUGCCAUUAACAAACCAUCCUGGUCUGUCUAUAUGAUUUUUAUCCACAUUCCAUGUCAAAUUAUUAAUUUACUAUAAAAUUCCAAAGACUUAAAAAAUCCCACAGAAUUUGUCAAUGGAUUAAAAGUGAAAAGUGAAAAUAUCUGUUUUAGUUGAGAAAAAAAUAUCAAUAUCUAUGAUGUUACACAAAAUUAGUAUCCUGCUAAAAAAAUUUAUUAAGAAAUCAUAUUGACACAUCGGAGACAAACUGAUUCAUUAGAGAUACCUAAAGACGUCCAUUGAAUGAUUAGAAUAAAUCAAUGUCCAAGAAAGAAAGCCCAUUUCAAAUGUUCAUUCACUUAAUAAUUUCACCUUAAGAGUGAAUCUUCAACUCCAAGAAAAUGAAAGUGGGAGUCAAAAAUAAAAAAAUUCAUACUUAGAAUUCUUAAAAAUCAGUGUGCUUUUAUUAGAAUAUAAAAUAAUAAUUGUUUAAUAUCUUAUAAAAAUAUUUUAAUGCACGCCAACAUGAUUCAUUAUGACCAGUCGCAAAAGGAGUCAUUCAAUGUAUUUCUUUAUGUUUCUAGUUACUUGUAAAAGUAAAAAUGAUAACAAUUACUAAAGGUGACAAUUAACAUUGUUAACCUUGUAGAGUAAAAGAUUAGAUGAUAGCAAACUUCAUAGCCUUGCAACACUAGUAAUCAAUUUUUGCAAAACACAUAUGAGGUUGUUGUCCUACUUGAACAUACAAAAGCAAGAAGGCUUUUUUGAAAUUUUGAAUGCUGAUUUUAUAGUUAACGGCAAGUCCAUGAGAAAUGAAUAAGUUUGGACAUGUGUUUACUUUAGAGAUACUGAUGUACUGAACAAAUAAUAAGUUUGGAUAUGUGUUUACUUGGCAAUACCAAUGUAAUGAACAAUAUAUGGGAAUAAAUAGCACAUAUAUUUAAAAUGCAAAAGAAACCUCAGAUGCACGCAAGUUACUGUAGAUAUCACAAUCGAUGGCUGCAUAAAACCGUGGAUCCAGGAAAUUUUUAUCAACAUUAACAAUUUUGUCAAUUGUUUCCACCUCCACAUCUCCCUUGCAGAUAUUUCCUGAGAUCAAAAUUACAGAACUAAAUUAACAAGGCCAGGAGAAUAUAUAACUAUAAUUUGCAAUUGCAGUCACAGAAAGCUAAGCAAGAUGUCAUGGACAACAUUUUAAUUACCAAAAUUUUACAAAAAGAAAUAAAAUCUAAAUAAUAAAGCUGCCAAUUAUCAAACAAAACAACCAAGGGAAAAGCCCAUCCAGAGUAGCUAAAUGAAGUGGACAAGAAAAGUUAUAAAUUUAUUAGAAGAAGAAACCUGUUAUUUCCACAUGCUUCGAAAGAUGGAGACAGGUACCUGUCUUUGUCUCAACAAAACUAACUGGAGAAGCAUCAUGGUUAUUGAUAUAUUCAAAUUCUGGACUCUUCAAAGAAUCACAAGUAGACAUGGUCUCAUCUAAAGAAACUGAACCAUCUGAUUGACUUGGGGAAACACCCAUAGUUCUAGGGGCAGAAAGGACACUAACCAUGCUGCUGGAAGCAGAAAGACUACCAACAGGUUGAUCACUCUUGGGGAAGCAUGUAUCCUCACAAGAAACAGCAGGACUUGAUUUUACAUUCAAGGAUGCAGGGAAAGUAUUUUGAGAGAGGGUUGUACCACGAAUGCAGGUCAAAGAUCUCUUCUUUAUCUUGAAAGUUUUUGCUGUGCAUGGUGCCUUCAAAUAUGAACCUUGGUUAACCUUUUUUCCCCAAAAAUUAGAACAAGGAUACUGUUAAACAGGAAGCAAGCUACUAACUUAUGUCCCAUUUCAAUAUGAAUGUAAAGGAUAAAAGAGCAAAAUAAAGUUAUGAGGCAUCAGGGAACAAAAUGACAAGAAACAUUUCCAAUUAGAUUUUCAUAUUAUUUUCAAAGCACACAUAAAACCCAUAAAAUGGUAUCAUUCUUUUUUUUUUUUGGUGAAACAAUUGCCCAAACCUACCUAUAAUUCUAAAUUUGUUGAAAGUUGUUGGAAAAAUCAUAACACGGUAAAAAAAAAAGUAAAAUAAAGAAAACAAAAGAUUUAUGUGGUUCAACAUAAUUGCCUACUUCCACGGGAAAGAGAGAUUAAAUUCAUUACUAAACUUCAAAAAUUCAUACUAAAACUCUCUACCCAAAACUCAAUAUAUCAUUUGCCUAUUUGUUUUCACUCUCCUUACAACUUUGAUGGCCUACUUUUUUUUUCAACCUCUCUACAAAUCCUAUGUAAAACCACAUAUUUAUAGUCUUCUUGGUCAACCCUAAAGAGUGAGCUUCCCGAUCUUAGUCAAACUCAAAAACAGUAAUUUACCCAAACCUAAACUAAGAAGGAUGAAUAUCUGAGAUCUACUUAAAAAAAGGAAGGAAAGAAAGAAAUAAACUUUAAAAUGAUAGUCUUAGUUGGAAUUAAAUUAAGAUUAGCAUCUGUUGAAGUUAAAUUAGGAGAAUUCGAGUCAUAAUAGAUCAAUAGAAUCCUAACAAAAUUUGAAUUUCUUUGAGAAGCUUGUAAAUAAGGAUAAUUGAUGUAAACCAAAAUAAAAUGAUUAAAUAAUAUUAGUUUUUUCUCAAGCAUUGCAAUUCUCACCGAUGAGAUUUCAUUAUUUUUCCUCUAAAUGAAAUCCCUAGAAGGCCUUAAUGAGAUUAUAAAGUUUCUAUCCCUUCUUCUUCUCAUAUUCUUUCUUUAUAUUUUUAUUUUGUUUUUUUCCUGUUGUCAUAAAUUCUAUUCCUUGUCCAUCUCCUUAAACCUUAAAAAAUAAAACCUCUAACCUACCAACUUGAUUGUAAACAUUCAAUCAAAGGUUUGUCCUAUAUUAUAAACUCUAUAAAUAUCAACUUUUUCAAAACUAAAGAUCCAUAAUUUGAGUCGAAAUCACCAACAAUCUCCACCUUGACUCAAAUUCUCUCAAUUCACAUGUGGAGGUAUCUCUUCUUGAUACCCACCUUUGCACCCCUUAUGGGUAAGAUGUCACCACUACACAAUCACUAAAAGUAAACAUGUGUCAAGUUCAAACUCUCAUCAAACUUGAUUCGAGAAACUGUCUUUGUCUUCUUCAUAACUUCAUUCUUUUUACAAUUGGUCUAGUAAUAGCCCAAAAGAUCUAAAGCCCCUAAAAGAAUUAAAAUUUUCCUUAAUUUAGGAACAUGCUUAACAUUAUCAAUAUCCUCACAACACUAUCAAACAUCUUCACUUUAACACAAUCAAUCCCACUAACUUUAUAGCUAGAAUUAUUAUCAAUUAAAAUAGUACUAGCAUUACAUUCUUUGUAGGUGUCAAUACACUUCUUAUAUGGGCACAUACAAAAAUAACACCCAAAAUCCAAGAAGAAAAAAUGUCUUCAUCAAGUAAAAUAGAAAUAUCAUUAUCAUUAUUAAACUUUUCAUUAACAACAAUAGCAAAAUUUGAAGUCUCUUAGGAUUUAAGUUUUCUCCUUACUUCUAAGUGCUUUGUCAAUUCUUCACAAUACCUCUAAACAUGUCAUUUUUUUUCUAAUAAUAGUAACACUCCACAUCCCUCCAGAAUGUGAUUAGAAACAAUCACCUAUCCUAUUAUAAUAUCUCCCUUUCAAUUUACUCCUACCAUAAUAUGAUUCAAAGUUCACCAUAAAAGCUUGUUUGGUGUGAGAAAAAAUGCUUAAUAUUUUUUUGUCUCUAAAAGUGCAAUUGACACCUCAUCCACUUUUAACAUCGCUUUUCCAAACAAUAAGUGUUGUCACCCAUGUCUCAUAUGGUUUCAGUAAGGACGCAAAUAAAAUAAAAACUCGAUCUUACUCAUUAAUCUUGAUCUCCACCCUUAAUAGUUGAGUUAUGUACUUAUUAAAUUUAUUUAUAGGAUCUCUAACAUUGGUUUCUUUAUCUACUUUCAACUCGUAUAACUGUUUUUCAAAUGUAAUCUAUUUAUUAGGGAUUUCGACAUAUAAGUUUUCUUUAACUUUUCCCAUGAAUGAAAAGAAGAUUCCUUAGUCAAAAUACUAUCUAAUUCAAAACACUUAGAUAGUGUUUUGAAUAAGAAAUCUCCUUUUGAUUUAUGAAAAUAAAUAAAUAAAUUUGAGAAAAUUAAUAUGUCAAAAUCCCUAACAAAUAAAUUAUAUUUGAAAAUAGUAGUUAUAUGACUUAAAGAUGGAUGAAGGAAUUGACGUUAAGGAUCAUAAAAAUAAAUUUAAUAAGUGCAUAACGUGGUUAUUAAGUGUAGAGGUCAAACUUAAUAAGGAAAAUUGAGUUGCUAUUUUAAUGGCAUUUCUAUCAAAAUAUAUGAGACAUUGGUGAUUACACUUUUAGUUGGAAAUAUGAUGUUAACUAUUGAUGAGGUGUCAAUUGCUCUCUUAGAGACAAAAAAUAUUAAGCAACCAAGUAGUUCAUCUCAUACUAAAUACGCUCUUGUGGUGAAGUCUAAAUCGUAUUGUGAUAUGAGUAAAUAGAGAAGAUGAUUGUUUCUGAUCACACUCUUAAAGGGAUAUUAUAUAUAUAUAUAUAUAAAAGAUAUAUUAUGAGGUAUUGUGAAGAAUUGAUAAAACACCUACAAGCAAGGAGAAAACUUAAAUCCCAAGAGACUUCAAAUUUUGAUAAUGUUGAUGAAAAGUCUAAUAAUAAUGAAGAUGUGUUUUGUAUUAUAGUUAAUGAAAAAAUUUCUAACUCUUAGAUUUUGGAUUCUAAAUAUUCUUUUCAUAUGUGCCCCUAUAAAGAAUGUUUUGACACCAAUAAGGAAUGUAAUGUUAAACCUAUUCCAAUGGACAAUGAUUUUAACUUUAAAGCAAUUGGGAUUGGUACCGUGAAGGGGAGUAUGUUUGAUAGUUUAUGAGGAUAUUAUUAAUGUUAAAAAUGUUCCUAAAUUGAUGAGGAGUUUGAUUUCUUUGGGGGUUCUAGACACUCUAGGCUAUGAUUUUUUCUUAUACAGGAUGGAAUUAUGAAUAUUAAUAAAAGUGUCUCAAAAUUUACAAAACUUGCCAGUAGAGUCACACCUUGAAAAGUCUUAUGUUAAUGCUAAAGAAGUUGUCACAAUAGAAAAGCAUGGUAAGAUGUUGGCAUCAGAUGAAAAGUAUAAGGAGAAGAUGAUUAAGACUUCAUUUUCAACUAAGGAUACUUGUUGACACAAGGAUGAGACUAAUUGCAAAAAUAAUGAAGUUAUAAAGAAGACAAAGACUCGAUGAGAGUUUGAAUUUGACACAUGUUUACUCUUAUUGAUUGCACAACAAUGACACCCUACCCAUAAGGGGUAAGCGUCAAGAAGGGAUACCCCACCCUGGUAUUGAGAGAAUUUGAGUCAACAUGAAAAUUGUUGGUCAUUUUGACUUGGAUUAUUUAUUUUUAUUUUUGAGAAAGUCAAUAUUUGUAAAGUUUAGAUUUGGGUAAAUUACUCUUUUUAGCUUGACUAGGACUGGAAACUUUCUAUUCAGUGUAAGUUCAUAGGACUCGUUUGUAUCCCACAAAAAAAAAAAAAAAAAAAAUGUUAGCCGUCAAAAGCGUCCAAGUUGUAAAAACAGUGAAGAGAUCAAACUCCCGUGGACAUAGGCAAUUCACAUCAAUCUUUCUUUUUCUUUUCUUUUUUUCUAUUUUCCUUUAUCCUCCUACCGGGUUUGGGUGUUGCGAUUUUCCCAAAAGAAUUCCCUUUUCCUGAUUCACUAAUCUGGUACCUUCAAACAUGGUUGUAACCUUUUUUCAGUAUGGUCACUGUCCUUGAUCAUCAUCCAAUUGAAAUAGCCCAAAACAUGUAUUUAGGGAUCUCAAUACCCAAAAGGAAAAAGCAGAAACAAGAACAACAACGCCAUGAAAAUCGAAAGAGAAGAACGCACCAUAGCAUUUGAUGCACCAAUCUGAGGUCCCUUUCUUUCGUUGGUCACGUUUCUGAGAGGUGGUCGUUUCUUGGCCGCCAUGACGUCCUUUCCGUGAUCCUCCGUCAUCGGAGGCCUCUUCGCUGUGGAAGAUGACCGUAACCGGCGACUACGCGUCGACCUCGCCGGAAUUACUCUGCAAAAACGACGGUAGUUUUAACUUUAUUGGUCGCGAAAUGCACUGGAAGAAACCUUAUUGAGCGAAUGGGCAUAUAAUUCUUGAAGCAAUUAGGGUUUAUGUAUGGUUUUUUAUUCUUGAUGAAGAGAAGAGAGCAACUUUUUUUUUUUUCUUUUUUUUUUCUUUUUUUCUCCUCUGUUUAUUUGCAACGUUUUUGAGCGGGAAUAGCAGUUGGGCUUGAGAUGAUCUGGACCGUCUAUUUGGCUUGACAGAUCUCUAUCGUUUGAUUAGAGUACGAAUCAGUAUCUGCACAUGCCUCCAUCAAAUUUUUUAGUAUACUGGCUAAAAAGGAAUGAAAAUAAAUUUAGAAUUUUUUAAAAUGAUUUUUAAAAAAAUCUGACAAUUCAAUAUUUUGUUUAAAGAAAAAAAGGGGACACCAACGAAUUUCUUUAAAGAUCUUUUAAAAAUCUUCUUAACAUUAAGUGAUUUUAUUGGGAGAGAAAUCUAACGGUCAAAUAUUUAAUUAUUAUAUAAAUAGUAGGUUUAGUAAUUAUUUAAUUAAAUUUUAAAACCUUAAUCACAAUCAAGAAUAUUCAAAAAUAAAUUGAAACAACGUAGAGAAUUGUUACCAUGUUAAUUCAUCAACAAAAUUUACCUGCUUGUAUUUGGUAAUAAAGAUAUUUUGAUAAAUUUAUGAAAAUUGAUAUUUUCAAUGGCUUAACUAAUAGUAUAAAAACACUUUCGAAUAUAUUUUAAAAGUCAAUUUAAUAGUGAUUUCAUGAACCAAUUUUUGAUUUAAAAAUUGUUUUUGAAAAAAAAAAAUAGACGUUUUGUGAAAUUUAAAAAAAUGUAUUAUUUUAAAUAAAAUAUUUUCAAUAAAAACAUUUAAAAUAAAAAUACUAUUAAACGCACUAUAAAUUAAAAACAUUCUAUAUAAUACAAAAAUAAUAAUUAUAUAAUAUAAAAAAUAUGUUAAAAUUACAAUCUUUUUUCUUCUAACCACCUUUUUUUUAAGUUUUAACACACAAUUAAAAAAGAAAAAAAAAACUGAUAUUUAAGCUAUGUUCGGUUUAAAAAAAUACUAAAGAAAUAAAAAAAAUAUAAAAAAAAUAAAUUUAUUUAACAUAAAAAAUGCGAAAUAAAAUAAAAUAUAAUUACAAUUAGUUAGAUAUUUAUAAAUUUAAAAUUAUUUAAUAUUUAUAUAUAUAAAAAAAUUAAAUGAGAUUGAAGUAAUAUAUAAAAUAAUUUAUUAAUUUUAAAUUUACUUUUUUAUUUAUUUUUACUUUUUUAUUUCUCUAUUUUUCCGCUCUCUCGUAUAUUUGAUCAAACAUAGCCUAAUAUUUACCAUAUUCGAAAGUAAAAAGUAACUUACAUUCUUAAACUAUAUUUUAUUUUAAUUUUUCUUUUAUUAUUCUCCUAUUUACAUUGUCAAUAAGGUUUGAUUGAUGCUAAACACCUAAAUGUUCCUAGCAAAGCGGGAUGAAUUUCAAUUAUUGUUAUUGAUUGCCAACAAUUGAGGAAUGCUUGUGAUUUUGGUAACAAUAUGGUUUUGAUUUUGAAACGUACUUAUUUUUUCUCUUUUUCUAGUAAGUGGGCCCAAGAGUUUGAAUUGAGUUUGAAAGGCUUUAAUAAUUGGUUUGACAAAGUCCCAAAACAUAAUUCAAGGAGAUGGAUGGAUGGAUUUUCAAACUUUAAAGUACAUAAAUUAAUAUUUUAUUAAAAUUUAUAGGAUGAGACAACGCAGGUGAUUUAAAAAUUAUGUAAAUGGUCAUAUCAUACAAAUCCAAAAAGGUAAAGUACAAAAAUUAUUAAUUUAUUCGUGAUUUAAUUUAUUUUUUUAUCCUAUUUCUGGUUUCAAAAAGUACUAAAAAAAUAUUAAAAUUUUUAUUUUUUAAUAUUAAUUUUAUUAAAAAAAUGAAAAAAGUUAAACAUAAUAAAAAAAGUUAAAUACGUUGAAAAAAAAUAAUUUAUAUAAUUUAAAUAUAUAUAUAUAUAUAUUUAUUUUCUUUAUAUUUUAUUUUUCUUUGAAAUUUUCAAGAAUCAAAUAUAAUUUUUAUUUUUUUAAGAUCACAGUCAUUAUUACAUGAUGUUAGAGCGGCUAUUAUACCAAAAGAAUAGUUAGAGGUUUUAUUUUAUUUUUUAUUUAAAAUCUUUAAAAUGUAAUUAAUUUAAUAGUUGGAUAUUGCUUAAAAAUAAAGGGAUUAAAUUGAGAUAUGGAAAAAAUAUAUAGAAAUUAUUUUUUUUGAUUUAUCUAAAAAGGGAAGACAUUUAUCUAUAAUUAUUAGUUUAAUACGAUUUUAAAAAAAUAAAUAAAAAUAUUAUUUUAGAAAAUGAGUUCAAAUUUGUUGUUUCACAAGACCAUUUAAAGUUGUAUAUUGUAUAUCAUAAUUGGAUUAAAAUAUAUAUAUAUAUAUAUAUAUAUAUCAUAUGCCUUCUUGGCCAGCCCAAAAAAAAUAAAGCCCAACCCAUCAAACAAUUAGCCCACGUCCCAAGCUAGGCCUUCAAAGUUUAAGCCCUAAAUCACCAUCAAGGCGGAGCAGCGAGGUGCCUCGAGUACAGGCGGGAAAAAGUGAAAAACAGGAGAGAAUAGAGAGAGGGAGAGAUUUUAGAGAGAGAAAAAUGGCACCAGUGUUGCAGAGCUCUCAGCCAUGGGUGGAAAAAUAGUACGAUCUUUCUCGUAUGCUUGCAUUUUAUUUAUUAUUGAAGUUUUUUUUUUUUUAAUUUAUGUUUUGUGGGUAUUGAUUUUGUUAUCAGUCGCCCGAAGCAAGUGAAGGACGUAGCUCACCAGGACGAGGUGGUUCGAGUGCUUACCAACACCCUUGAGACCACAAAUGUAAUGGAUUCCUUUUCAUUUCAAUGUUUUCGUAUUAUCAAUUUUAUAUUUUGUUUGAAACCCUAUCAUUUUUUUCUUAUUUUCUUGAAUUUUCUGUUUGUUUGGGACCUUCAGUUGUUCAAUUUUUGCUAUCAAAAAGCAAGGAAAAUAUUUACAAAAUGGUGAAAAUUUUCUAAUUAUGCAGUGCCCGCACAUGCUAUUCUAUGGGCCGCCCGGUACCGGAAAAACCACCACUGCGCUUGCCAUUGCUCAUCAGCUUUUCGGGUCCUCUCUCUCUCUAGAGAUAUAUAUAUAUAUAUAUAUAUAUAUAUAUAUAUAUAUAUAUAUAUAUAUAUUAUUAAUAAUAAUUUUGGUUUACGAGUGAUGUACUCGUAGCACUUCAUUAGCUUGAGUUAGGAAUAUGCGAAUCUUAUUCUUUAUUGAAGUUUGAAAAAAAUUUCAGCUCAAACUUCCUUUCAAAAACACGGUGUUGUGUUUCUCAAAUGACUACAUGGAGGAUUUCUAAAUGAUGUGUUUUUUAGGGUAGACAAUAAUCUUUUUUUUUUUUAAUCGAACCAUAAGUCCUCCAUGCUUUUGAGGGCUGCGAUCAAUUUAUGUGAUUGUGAUUUGUUGAUGUUUCAUGGAAUUCUCUCUAAUUCAUUUAAGUUACAUUUAAGACUGAGGCUUGGAUGUUGGGAAGUCAGCUACAGGUUUGGAUUGGUUUGCUAGGGGAAACCAAUGUCAAUAUUGUGGCUGGGAUAUGUGUGUGCUGGGAAGGCUUACAAAAUGAAGAUCUGCACUAGGUUUGAUUUAUCAUUCAGUAACAGAAUCAAGUAUAGGAUUACAGGCACAUGGGUUUUGAUUUUAAAAGUAUUCUUUCGUGGGGGGUUUUGAUUUUAAAAGUAUUCUUUCGUGGGUUGUAUGGAAGGUUAAAGGAAUGCAUACAACUGUUAUUAUAUACUCUCGUUAUGUACUUUGGAGGUUAAUAAUCAAUUGUGGGAGUUCUAAACCAAGUAAUAUAUGAACUUUUGGUAGGCAUGGUAAGACCUACAUCCUUGAGUAAAAAAAAUUAAGUUACACUUGAAGUGGAAUUAAUAUGUGAAAGCUUAAAGGGAUUUAAGAUCAUGAUUGGAAGUUAUCUGCUGAGGCAUGCAAGCAUAUAGAGACCAAAGUUUUACACGAGAAAAGAUGUAGGAGGCAUCGAUGGAACUGAGGGAGUUAACUUGGAUGGGAUCAAAGGUUACAUUCUGAAGUAUAACUGCUCCAAGAACAAGGGCAUAUACCUGUAAUAAGGUUUUGGUCUACUUGCUUUUGUGGUUAGUGCAAUUUUUUUGCUCUUUAUUUACUUGACUUUUGGCUCCUACUUGCCAAAGUGCCUGGUGCUUGAAUUUGGUUUCUCUUAUCUUAAUAAAUUCUGUGGAAAUGAGGAUAAUGCAAUUGGUAGAACUGAUAGAAAUAGAUUUUCUGGAAAAAAAAAAAAAAAACUAAUAAAAAAUAUCUAUGUUCCCUUUGACAUGUUCAGAUGUUUGAGGGGAUUAGUGCAGAACCAAUAAUGAGCUCAAACCUUUGGUAUGGAACCAUGAAAGACCGAGUUUGUUUUUAGUUGUAAAGGUCCCCUGUAACAAAGGAGUUUUCAAGCUCUAGAUUAUCCAAGGAGCAACCAUCAUCAUUGAGCUCAAGUAUACGCUUAGUUAAAGAUCAAAGAAGUAGCAGGCUGAUGGGGGAC